AAGAAUCCUAGAGCAAUGAAAAAAGUUCAACAGGAAAUCAGAUCGUUGAUUGGGGGUAACAAAGGCUUUGUAAAUGAAGAUGAUGUUCAAGAACUACAUUAUCUUAAAGCGGUAGUGAAGGAGACAAUGAGAUUGCAACCCACAGUGCCAUUACUAGUCCCAAGAGAAACAAUUGAAAAGUGCGUAAUAGAUGGGUAUGAAAUACCAGCUAAAACACUUGUCUUUGUAAAUGCAUGGGCGAUAGGAAGAGACCCUGAAGCUUGGGAGAAUCCGGAGGAAUUUUAUCCGGAGAGAUUCGUUGAUAGCUUUAUUGACUUUAAAGGGCAACACUUUGAGUUAAUACCGUUUGGUGCUGGCAGAAGAAUUUGUCCUGGGUUGAAUAUGGGAAUCGCAACUGUGGAUCUUGCACUUGCUAAUCUUCUUUACAAAUUUGAUUGGGAAAUGCCGCCUGGAAUGAAGAGCCAAGACUUGGACUUUGAUGUUCUGCCUGGAAUUACUAUGCAUAAGAAGAAUGCUCUCUCUCUUUUGGCCAAGUAUCAUGAGUAGGUAAAUUAAGGCACCUUGGUCAAUAAGAGUUUGAUCUAAACUAAAUGUAUGUUAUAGAGAUUGCAUGUAUGUCCUCAAUUGUGCUUCUCAUGUUUCCUUUCUUUCUUCUUAUGUAUAAUGAAUGUUGAUGUCUAUGUGCCCAUAGGCUGAGUGGUUUUUAAUAAUUAAAUUUCUUUUAGUUCAAAAUUUUGGGAGGUAAGGACUAGAGAAUAAUGGUUACUCUGCUCACUCUCCUAUACUAAUAAAAAAAAAAGUUGAUAUGAAUGUGAAUAUUAAUCUACUACAUUCAUUUCGUCUCAUAUUUUUUCCCCUAUAUUUUUUGCUUUAGAUUUAACUUCUAUCACUUAAACUGCUAUCUUUUUAUAUGAUUGGAUAGAGAUUGAAAUUUUUGCUGUUCCAUCUCAAUGUUAAUGCUAAUUUUAUCUUCACACCUUUACUGUAAUUUUCUACUUUUACUAUUAGAUGCUGAUAGGGUCUUUUCUUGGAGAUUACUUUACCAAAAAAAGUCUGAAAGAAGAUUUUAUAUCGAUCGGAUAGCAAGCUUGUCCAUAUAGUUUAUGGAUUAUCUGCAAGAGCUCUUUUUAGUGCGCAUACGGUUGUCCCUUCAUGUUAGCAUAUUUAUUCUGUCAUCAAUGAACUUUUGCAUUUAAAUGGUAUCAGUUCAAGUGAUGAAUGAAUUUUACCUAUUGCCUAUCUUGGACUAAAUUUAAUUUCAAAAAAUGAGCUUCCAGCUUAUGACUUAUACGUAUCUUGAACUUUGGUUUUACGAUCACCGUUGGAUGGAAGAGUGGCUUGAGUUUGUUAAUUGCUUCAGUCCCAGGACUAGUGUUUGGAAACAUAAAAUUUAACACUCCCCAAAAUAAUUCAAUAUACAACCAACUCCGAUGAUCAACAUCCUCAACCAAAAUUCUAAGUUUUACUCAAGAUAUCUCCAGAGUCUCAAAAGAUAAUAUUAUAACUAAUAUUAAUAUACCUCAGUUUAUUCUUAAUCCCAAAAGAAUAAUAUAACAAAAUUAUACAAUCUAAAAAGAACAAGAUAACUAUGAUAUCCUAAUAAAAAAAAUCAUCUAUAUCUUCUAACACCAUCACGUGGCCAAGAUUCAAAAUAUAUUUACAGUCGCUGGGUCGGUUUGGUGUACCUGCAACCUCCUGGUGGGAGGAGGGAAUAGAAUAAAAGCGGGAUGAGUAUAAAACUCAGUGAGAUCAGUGAGUGGAUAGUAGUUUUCGAAAAAUUAAUUCUUACUUUAAAAGAAAUAAUUAUAUCAUUUCCAAACACGAUUUCAUCAAACCAUAUGCGAGAAACCAAUAAUAAAUCAUUUAACAUUUAAAUCAGAUUACUAAUCAUGAAAAUCAUAUAUAAUAUCAUGCCUAAUAACUAUGGAAAUCAUAUCACAAUAUCAUAUAAAAUACACAAAUCUGAAAAUCAUCACCAAACAAGUACCCAAGGGAAAAAUCUCGUCGUAUCCGGACCUCAACGGACGGGCAAUGACGUACUAUCUAGGUACUACCAUGCCCCAGAGCUACAUGGAUAGACAUGAAAAUACCAUCUCAUAUCUCAUCAUAUCUCAUUAUAUCUGUGCAUGCAUAAUCUAGUCCCCAAAGGAUAAAAUCGCCCAAGCACACGGCCCAAAGCCUCUGUGUGUACUCAGACGAAUUCCAAAGGCAUGUAUCUCAUCUAUAUCAUAUGUAUCUCAAUAUAUGUCUGUAUCUCAUAUUUGUAUCUCUAUAAUCAUCAUACCGCAUGCAUAUGCCCCCAAAAAGCAAAAGCGCCAAAACACACGGCCCAAAAUCUCUAUGUGUGUUUAGAUAGGCCCCAAAUGCCUCUUAUCUCAUCUGUAUCACUGUAUCUGGAGGGAAGGAUAUUGUCCAAUGAUUUUAAAAACAAUCUCUAUACUCAUAUUCAUAUACAUUCUAAUUAUACAUUUCUUUCUUUAUCACAUCUAAAUAUAUUUUUCUCAUCUUUAAAAUACUGUCAUAUUUUAUUCAAUGUUGAUACGAAAAAUCAUUAACCAAACAUUUUAAUAUAAUAUCAAUGCGUGUAUAAAAUCCAUUAUGAGGAAAUCAUUAAAUCAGAACAUUUAAAAUACUAUUUUCGCAAACGUGAUUUACUAUCAUAAUUAAUUAUGAAAAUAUGUUUUGUAUAUUUUACUCACAGCGACAGUGUUCACGCUCGGUUAUCGUCCACGUCUGCGAAUCGGUUCUCGCUCACAGAUCCUCCUAAAUAAAAGAAACGGCAUAAUUAUUUUCUGUAAAUCAGAAUUAAGACUAAAUUUAUGCAAUAAACUCGAAACGAACAUCUAUCCAUAAUUUACAACUCCCGUAUCGAUAGAAUUACUGAAAUACCCUCAAAUAUGUAAAUCGUUAAAAUACUCCAAAAUCGUAAAUUAUCGAAUUACCCUCGGAAUCGUAAUUACACCCAAUCCUCAAUUUCAGAAAUUACUAAAAUAUCCACAAGCUCAAAAAUUACAAAAUUACCCUCAGAGUGUGAAAUUACUGAAAUGUCAUUGUCGGUCAACGGUCACUGGAAUUUAGUCAACGCUGUCCGGGAAGCUCAAGUAUAAAAGUUCCAAUAACGCUGAGUCUAAUAGUGCCGGCGGUGAGGUCCCACAUGCGGCAACGACGCCGUGAAUUUCCAACAAUUGGCCGGCGGCGAAACAGUGACUCCCGGUGACUGUAGAUGGUCAGGAAUUGAAGAGGGAGUUGUGGGGAACAAAAGUGAGGUGGUGGCGUGGUCAAAUUCCAAUAGAAUCAACGGCAAUGGUAUGGGUUUUGGCCGCGGUUUCUCAAGCUUGAAACGGCGACGAUCCCGUCUGCUUUCAGCGACAAUGACGACUGGGUAUGAUGGCCGGUCUUCAAGCUUCAGAUUGGUACCAAGCUUGACCGGUGGGGUGGCCAGAAUCGCAAGAUAUGGCCGGGUCAAUUUCGGGUCAAAACGGUCGGGUUUUUGGGUCGGUUUUGACAGCUUCUCUCUCACUCUCUCACACGUGUGUCUCUGUUUCCCCUGUUUUCCAGCUUCCUCUUUCAUUUAUUUUAACUUUUUAACCGCCUCAUUUUUUUAUUUACUUUUUCACAUAUGUUACAGAAUAACUUAAUCUUUUGCUAUUUUAUUACGUUCAGUUUAUAUACAGCUGAUUCAUUGUAACAAAUGUUAUCAUAAAUAACCACUCGGGCAGUAGCCCGAGUGGCCAGGGCUGCUGCCCUCCAACAAGUUGGAGGGCAGCAGUUCGAACCCCCACAAAAAUAUUGUGGGGGUAUUUCUUUCCUCAAUUAAUUUGAGUGAAGGUAGUCUUCUCUCUUACCCAUGAGUGAGGAGUAGACAUCCCUCGAAUAUUUGUGAGGGUUAAAAUCUGGGCAGAGCUCCAUUAGCAUUGAUGUCAGUUGGUCCCAGUAAUAGUCUGAUUUGUAAAUAUCAGUAAUAGUCUCAUGUAUAUGAGUUGUAAUCUGAGCAAUAGUCUCAUGUAAUCAAAAAAAAAAAAUGUUAUCAUAAAUGAUUCUCGAGUAAUUUCAUUUAUUUACUUUUUCUUCUUUCACAGUUGGCCUGUACGGUAUCAUUUACUUUUAUCUUUUUUCAAAUUUCUUUUAAUCUAGAGAAUGUUUGUUUUAGUCCUGAUCUUGGGUUACUGAAAUGUUUCAUUCCCUUUUCCUAAGUAUUUUUGUUGCUUGUUUAGCGGGCAAUACUGCAACAGUGAUUUCAAUUCACAAAAUUCUGUAAAUACUUAUUAUUCUUAGUGUGGUUUUAAGGUAGAGUGAACUUAAUAUUAUCAUAAUGGCUUACAUCCCUCCACAUAUGAGGCAUACUACGGACCCCCAGAGGCCAUCUCCAGUUCCAGAGAUGAUUGUGCCUAAAUUCAACAGAAAAUUAAACUUGGGAUCAUCCAAGCAUAAUGCAGACAUGAGUGGAAAGAUCGUGUAUGCAGACCCUGCCAUACACAGGUUCUUCAUAUGUGGCUUGGAUAAUGAUAGCAGCACUCCUUCUGUCCGCUUUGUGGAGUUUUCAGACGACCCUGUUGAGCAUAAAAGAUCGACGACCAUUAAUCUGGCUCGAGGUUACUGAUCUGCAUUUGUAAUUUUAUCUUAAAUAUGUUCUACUUUCUUUCUUUAUUUAUAUCCGGUGCUAACUUUAGUUAUAAUGACAUUUGGAUUUUGGGUUGGUAGAUAACGAUAAAUUAUGUGGGAAUACGUCAAGAAGCCCGUGGGAAUCGAUGGCAGAAAAUGUAUGGCCAGAUGUAUUGAGUGCUUGUAACAUUGUCAAGAACGAAAUGGAGGAAAAGCCAACAAUGGUUGCUAGAUUUGGCCAUCAUCUUUUCCGUGAGUAUGUGAUCUGGUUCCAUUGCUGUAACAGCUUGAACUUUUUAUUAGGUCAUUCCUUUUCUUUGGACUUUGAAAUUAAAGCAGCAAAAAUGCAUGUUCAUACUAAAUUCUGACAGAAAUCUUAUGGUCAUAUAAGUGCUGGCAGCUAAAAUUAUGAGCUUUACCAUUAACCCUACCACCAGCUGUGGAUGACUGUAUAUCGGACCUCCAAGCCGGGGACAAAAGUUAAAAUUGCUUUUAAAAGCCAAAGAGGAAAAGAUUUGUAGAAAGAAGGAAAAAGAAAAUGGCAAUUUAUAGUGCAUGCACUUCUUUCAGACUUGUAUCUCAUAGAAGCUUUCAUGGCAUCUAGAAUUUGGCUUUGGCUUUGCGUAGGACAUUUCAAUUGUUGCUGGUGGAAACAAAUAUAUCCAUUGUCUUAGUAUUGCUUGAUUUCCGGUGCAAGAAACAAAUAAAUUUGUUGCCGUGGCCAAGUUUUGUUGUUUGAUAUUUCAUUGGGACAACAAAGUAUACCACUGCUUCGCCUAUUUCUUACAUCUUUGCAUCAUAUAUUUCCAUUCUUCUAUCACAUCUUUGAAGCUUCUACUAGUUCUCAUAUUAGAAGCGCCUCAAAGAAAUAAUUAUUAUAUUAUUCGUCUUAAUGAAGGAGUGACAUACUGAGCUUAGAAAAUGCAAAAGAAGGUCAGGUUGCUGAAUCUGCUUUGAGCCCACUGAGGAGAUGCUUUUACACUGGUGUCCCUCCUACAUACAUGGGAAAAAUUGUAAAUGAAGUUGUGCCAAAAAUUGGGGUUGGUUUUGUAGAGAACAAGGAUAUAUACCAUGUCAAGGUAGUUCUCCUGCAGUCCUGCUAAAUACUUUAGUAGUCAUCACCAAGUUUCUUUUAUCUCUCACUUAAUUAGCCAUUGAUUCCCCCCCUUCUUUUUCUUGUGUAGUUGUCUGAUGGCACACGACAAAUUACGUGCAAAUGUACUGUUAAAGAAGAUCAAAAGCUUCAUCUCUAUAAGGCAAGUCUUUUGCUACUGGCUGAGUAUUAUUUAUGGACAACGGGUCCAAGUUUAUAAGUUGCCUCUUGUGUUAAGGAGACUUUUGCUAGUGGAAACAUUGAAACAAGACUUAUGAUGUUUUGAAUUGAAUGAUAUAAUCUUUUCACUGUGAAUUAUGAAGGAGAUGUCGAAUAUAAGCGAUAGAUAUCAAGAAAGAGACGAAACCUUUGUGUCUCAAAAGAACCUUUUAGAAGUCUCUCCAGGAAUAAUCUCAGUUAAGAGGAAAAGAAUUAAAAUGAAAAGAAGGAAGAAAAUUCUCAAGAAGUAAGACUAAUUCUACAUCUAAUUGAGGAACAGGCUUGUUAAUUUAACAAGGAAAGCUCCAGUAGCUAUUUAUUAUAAACCAAUUAAAAAUUGAAUUAAAUUAAUAGUUAACUUGUAAUUGAAUGUCUAAUCCAACAAACUAUGCAUAAGAUUACAGAUGUAACUAUGUAAUACAAAAAACCUCUGCUUAUCGUAGACCAAAGUGAAUAUGCCAAUAUUUAGGAAUUUCUUUCAGCAUCAUGGGAUUUAGAUCCCUAUAAUUUUUUUUAUUUUAGUGUAGUGACAUCCGGAAGACCAGAAUUAUCACGUACCUCGUAGUAGUCAUUUUAUGUCUUUUAAAGCGCCACAUUAUUUCCCAUACAGUCAUAAUAUAUCUAUUUGUUGUUUAUUUAUUGUUGUCGUGUGUGGAGUCUCAUCUUGAAUAUGAACAUUUUUCCGGAAGGUCGAGCUGAACUCUGUUCGUCACAUGGUAGCAGACAUGUUAUGCGUUCAUAAAAAUCUAGACCUGAGGUUGGCACUAUGUUCAAAGAGUACCUUAUCUGCUCUCUCGGUAAGUCAAUCUGCUACUCUGUGCAUGUUUAGCUGGACUUUUAAGUUACGCCUUCUUUUUUCCCCUUUUUAUUUUUUUUUGGUCAUUUGCUUGUUGGAAUCAUCAUCAUUACAGAAUGAGGAAGAAAAAUUCAAGACCAGGGGAAAUAAGGAAAUAUUAAACUUAUAGCUUUUGUUUUAUCAUAGAAAGUUUACUUUCAAGGGGUUGAGAAAAAAAAAAAAUUAUAUAUAUAUAUAUAUAUAUAUAUAUAUAUACACAUACAUAUAUAUAUAUAGGGAUGGCAAAAUCCGGGUCUGGGUCCGGGUUUAGCCUUCCCGGUUCCGGACCCGGACGCCAUUUUCUUUCUCUCGGUCCCGGAUUAAAACCCGGUUUUUUCACUUCGGGUCCGGUACGGGUUCAACCCGAAAAAAUCCGGGUUUUGAACCCGGAUCAAUGAAUUAAUUUCUAUAAUUCCAAAAAUAAAAUCUUCAUAUGAAGAUGGCGAUUUUUCACUGGAACCAGAGAAAAUAUUUAUGGCACCUGGAGGGAGUUCCCUCUGUUUUGCAGAUCAUUUAUACAGAACAAAAUGAUUAAAUACCCAAAAAGGAGGAUCACAUGUCUGCAGAUUUGGCCCGCGGAAAAGAUUCAACACAAUCUCCAAAACCAUUUUAGAAUCCGCGAUGGUGAAGAUGCGUUGUCACAACUCAAACAACGACAGCCGAUGAUGAUGAAUACAGGAGCUACAAGGUUGCGACGGUGGUGAACCCAAGAGAACGAGUUGCGACGGUGGCGAACCAAGCUUGCGACGGUGGUGAACCCAAGAGAACGAGUUGCGACAGUGGCGAACCAAGCUUGCGACGGUGGUGAACCCAAGAGAACGAGUGGCGACGGCGGCAAACCAAGCUUGCGACGGUAGCAGCUUGGAUCGUAUGGUUGUUUGGUUGCAGCAAGCGGCAGCUUCAAUGUGUGAAUGUGAGUAUGUAAAUUAGGGUUUUUGUUAUGUUUGUAUUUAUAUUAAAUAAUAAAUAUAAUUAAAAAAUAAUAUUAAAAUAAGAUAUCCGGGUCCGGGUUCCGGAUAUACGGGUUACUCUAAACUCGGAAUCGGACCCGGAUCUAUCCGGGUCGUUAAAAUUCAUUCCGGAUCCGGAUUUUUUUACACUCCGGUACGGGUUCAACCCGGUCCGGAUUAUCCGGAUUCGUCCGGGUCCGAUCCGGGUCCGGGUUAUUCUGCCAUCCCUAUAUAUAUACAUACACACACGACAACAAUACAUAUAUAUACAAAAUUGUGAUAUCGUGCCACAGUUGCACUCAACCGUUGGAUUUCUAUGGACCCCACCUAUCUAAAUGGAUCCAACGGCUGGAUGCAACUGUGGCACGGUACCAUAGUUGCACCGUAGCCAGACCCUGCAAAAGUAUAUUGAAGUUUUUUUCUGGCCUUUUAUGUAAUCACACCCGCCAGUAAUGAGAUAAUUUACAAAAAGGUCCUUGAUGUUUUGGUUAAAUUUAAUUAAAUUAGUAAAUUCAUCCAAAACGGCAUCGUUUUGAAUGUGUUUUUAUUAAGAUUUAUCCAGCAUUUCGUACAUAUAUCAGUGCUUUUUUUUUUUUGUUUAAUUUUUAUAAAGUGUUGGUUAGAAGGCAAACAUCUUACAUUAAAAUGGAGUCUUCUUGCGGCGGCCAAAGGAGAUAUAUAUAUAUAUAUAGGCACACACACAUACACUAGAGUUUUGUUUAAGUUAUAUUUCACAUGGAUUAAGUUGUAGAUGACAGAUCUCUAAAAGCAUCUUGUAAAAUUGUACAUUAAAAAAUAAUAGUUCUAGUAGUGUUAAAGGCAGCUGCUGAAAACAGUUUCUACUUAUGCUGCGUUUACUAAACUGGAAUCGGAAUGAGUUGGAAUCAGAAUGGACGGGAAUCGAAAUGAGCUGGAAUGAGAAUCAAAAUAAGUUGUUUACUUGAACUGUAGGAAUCGAAAUCGGAAUGAGCUGGGUUGCCAUUAAUGUGUUUACUUUGUCUUGAAUCGGAAUCAGAAUGAGUUAGAUUGUAACAAAUUACUAAAAAAUACUUAAUGAAUUAUUGUCAUAAUUAUUAUUAUUAACUAAUUUUAAAUUUUUUAUCAAAUUAUUAUAAUUAUAUUAACAAUUAUUAUAAAAAUAUAUUAACAAAUAAUAUUAAUAUUCAAAAAUUAUAAUUAUUAAUAAUUAUUGUUAAAAAUAUAUUAAUAUAUUAAUUAGUACUAAUAAUUAUAUUAUUUAAUUAAUUAUAAUAACUAUAUUAAUAAUUAUUAUAAUAACAUGUUAAUUAAUUAUUUACAAUAAUAAUAUAUUAAUUAUUGUGAUUAUUUACUCAAGAACAAUAAUUAUUAAUAUAUUAUUGUUAAUAAUAUAUUAUUAUAUUAUUUAAUAGUGAUAAUUAUAUUAAUUAAUAAUAAUAUAUGAAUUAAUUCUAAUAAUUAUAAUAGUAAUUAUUAUAAUAAUAUAUUAAUUAAUUACAAUAAUAAUAUAUUAACUAUUGUGAUUAUUUAUUCAGAAAUUAUAAUUAUUAAUAAUUAUUGUUAAUAAUAUAUUAAUAUAUUAAUUAGUAGUAAUAAAUAUAUAAUUUAAUUAAUAAUAAUAUAUGAAUUAAUUAUAUUAAUAAUUAUUAUAACAGUAUAUUAAUUAAUUAUAAUAAAAAUAACAAUAAAUUAAUUAUUGUGAUUAUUUAUUCAAAAAUUAUAAUUAUUAAUAAUUAUUGUUAAUACUAUGUUAAUAUAUUAAUUAACAGUAAUAAUUAUAUUAAUUAAUAAUAAUAAUAUAUGAAUUAAUUAUAGUAAUAAUAUUGAUAAUUACUAUAAUAGCAUAUUAAUUAAUCAACUAAAAUAAUAAUAUAUUAAUUAUUGUGAUUAUUUAUUCAAGAACUAUAAUUAUAGUUAAUAAUAUAUUAAUUAAUCAUAAUAUUUAUUUAAUUAAUUAUAAUAAUAUAUUAAUUAAUUAUAACUGAGGACAAAGUGGGUAUUUUUAGUUUUGGGGGAUGGCAAAAUGGGAAUUCUUGGGAUGGGAGAUUGAUUCCCACCUCCCCCAUGGGAAUCAAUCUCCCAUUCCCCAUUCCCAAAUAGUUGUGGGCCCCACCAUUUUGAUUUCCAUUCCUGCUUCAUUUUUGCGAAGUAAACGCGUCAAUCAUUCCGAUUCCAGAUUUCGAUUCCCCAAUUCGGGAAGUAAACGCACCAUUAGUUUCUAGUAUAUCCAUAUAUAUUUACCUAAAAAAGAAGGAGGUAAACGUCUUUUGUUUUUUUUUUUUUUUUAAAAGAGAGAGAGCGAGAGAGAGAACAUUUUCUACUGUGUUCACUGACACACCCCGCCCCGACUUAUAUGUUGGAUCCGAGGCGAAUCAUGCGGUCUAGUAACUAAAACUCGUGGCACUAACUUAAUUCAUGUAUAUAUAUUAAUAGUUUUCUGGUUAGGGAAUUGUAAGCUUUUAAAGCCGUGCAGUUUUAAAGUUUUCCCAGACUUUCCCGCACUUUAAAAUUCCAGACUGGAACAUUUAUAUAUAUAUAUAUAUGACCUUUACUAUAAACACAUAACAACCUUUGUGUCUCCUCCGAAAAUAUAUAUGUAUUCAAAACUUGCACAGUUCAUGUCUCAUUAUACAUACUUACAUUACAAGUAUAUAUACAAAAAAAACAUAAACAACAUAAAUGUGCUCAAAAUGCAAGACAUGCAACAAUGCGUCUCGUGGGCCCACCCCAAUUGACUGGAACUGAUCUGCACGAAAUCCUGCGGAAUCCUGGGAAAAAAAAUAGAUAAAUAAGAAAAUAAUGAGCUUGCGGCUCAGUGAGUGGAUAUAAUUUAUAUAUAGAAAAAUAUAGUAGCGUACUAGGAUAUAUACAUAAUUAUGUGACAUAAUUCCGCACUGAAUGUAAUGCAUCAACAAACAUGAAAAUCAUACACACAUGACAAAAUUGUACCAAAUAGUACCCAGGGGAAAUAACUCUCAAUACUUGCUGGGAUCAUCGUCGCACGAGAAGAGCGGGAAAACUCUCAAUACCCAGCGGAAUUUAACUAAAUCGCACGAGUAGAGUAGCCUAACUCUCAAUAUGCAUGCGUAGAGCCUAUGGAGAAGGGUACAUAUAUGGUGACUGACAAUCACAUCUCAUGACUCAAUCAAACAUAUAAUAUGCAAAUAUAUAAUCAUGAUAUUAAAUCAUAUUAUCAAAUAUAAAUGCUUCACGAAAUUCAUAUUAGUAAUAAUAGUAUCCACUCACAAAUCAUGUUUCACUUCGGGGUGUUUGUUGGGGCUCCUAUGGGUUCUUGAAUUCUUGAGUUCCUCCUAAAAUAUAAGAUUAAAAAAUUAACUAUUAAAACUGAUAUAAAAAUUGAUACGUAUCACAAAAACUGUAAUAUAACUGUUCAAACUUCAUAUAUCUAUUACCCAUUAAUUCAUUGGAUAUUAAUGUAAGUGUUUAAUUUCAUUUCCUAUAACAUUCCCUCUCAAUUUAUCUUUUAAAUUUCUUUUCCCACUCUUGGCUUCUUCCUUUCUUUUAUUUUUUUUCUUUCCUCUUCUCUUUUGCUCUCAGUUUUUCUUCUUUUUCUUCUCUGUCUCACUUCAAAAAAUGAUGCAAAAUGAGAGCUGGUUUCAAUUCCUUCAAAUUCAUAUAUGUCCACCGACUCAAGCACACAAGUAGAGCAUACGGGUGAAGCAUGCACGUGCCUUGCAUGAAGCUGGUAGCUUGCUGCUGCUUUGAUAAUUAGCCACGUUUGGCUUAUAAAGAAGCGGUGAAGCAUGCACGGUGCAUUACAUUCAUGCUAUCUACGGAAUGAUAAAAACUAAACUUCAAGUACAGCGGAGUAAAACCUGUGCACACAGCUUAACAUUUUAUGUGGCAACUCUGGAAGAAAUCUCACAAUGAAAAUAAAAAUUACAGGCGAAUGUUGCAAGUAUAUUUCAUUCAUAUGUCAAUUUUUGAAAACCUUGCUCUGUAAGUAAACCAACCAAUCUAUUUGUGACAAAUGGGAACAAGACAGUAACCUCCUUAUUUGAUGAUAUGCAGCAUUUGCAGAAGCUGAAACAGUAAACAUGGGAAUGAAAGGAUUAGAAUCAUUUGAUAUAUUUUUUUUUAACUAGAAUUACUUCCACCGUAACUGAUAUAAUUAAAUAAGAGAGAAUUUACAAACUAAUUUUUUAAAUUCUCUCAAAUAAGUAAGCAUAUUAAUUAAAAAAAUUAAAUUAAAAGUAUUUCAUUUAAUUAUUUUUUUAUUGAAAACUAAUAAUUAAUACAUAUGCAUUCUCUACAGGUUUAAUCAGGUUUUGUUGUUGUACACAUUAGUAUAAUAAGUUUAAAUGAAGUUUAAACUUUGAUAAUUUAAAUUAAAAUUCUCACAAUUAUUUGAAGAUUGUGGUUCGGUGAAAUGAAGUUUAUCCAGUAUAACAUACCAAAAAGGGGGCGGCUAAGGAGGCAGCCAGGAGGCAACCGAGAGUUAGCAAAAGAGGCAAGAAAAAGGCAACAAGCCAACAAUGAAGUCAAAAGCUCAAGAAGGGAAGCGGUGAAGCAAAUCCGACAAACGCAAGCAAGAGUUAAGCUGGCUGUUUCGCAUGACACAUGUGAAGCUUCAUCACAAGCUGGCUGUUUCGCAUGACACAUGUGAAGCUUCAUCACAAGCUGGCUGUUUCGCAUGACACGUCUAUGCUAUUUUUCUUCUGGAUUUAAUCUAUCAUUGUCGACGACGACGAUUUGCUAACCUCACAAGUGAUAAGGACUCUACAAGAGUACAAAACAGAGACUCGUAAUAUUACUGAAUAUAGCAUUUCUGUUUCCUUAUUAAUGGAGAAAGGCAGUUAUGUUUUUGCAGCGGUCAAGGGCAUUGAAGAUAUUAUGGCUUUACUUAUCAUCGUUAGCUUCCUUCUGUGUCUCCCAUUCUUCCUCUUCUUCUUUGUUUUGCAAAGGCACAAAACCUCGAAAAAUAAUACUAAAUUACCACCAGGCCCCCGGGGCCUUCCCUUCAUCGGUAACUUACAUCAGUUUGAUGUCUCAAAGCCUCAUGUGUCAUUUUGGGAACUAUCGAAAAAAUAUGGCCCCCUCAUGUCCUUGCGUCUUGGUUUUGUGCCGUCCUUAGUAGUUUCCUCAGCAAAAAUGGCUAAAGAGAUAUUGAAAACCCAUGACCUUCAAUUUUGUAGCAGGCCAGCCUUGGUAGGGCAACAAAAGUUAUCUUACAAUGGUCUUGAUUUGGCUUUUUCACCCUAUGAUGAAUAUUGGAGAGAGAUUAGAAAAAUUUGUGUCAUUCAUCUCUUAAACUCUAAUAAGGUACAAAAUUUUCGACCCAUUAGAGAAGAUGAAGUUUCAAGAAUGAUUGAAAAGAUUUCAAAAUCAGUUGCUGCUUCUAAGCUCGUAAACUUAAGUGAGGUAAUGAUGUCUCUUACUAGCACUAUUAUUUGUAGAAUUGGUUUUGGCAAGAGGUACGAUGAAGAUGAAGCAACAAGUGCAAGAAGUAGAUUCCAAGCCUUGCUUAAUGAAACUCAAGCCUUGUUUGUAAGCUUUUUUGUUACAGAUUAUUUUCCUUUCAUGGGCUGGAUUGAUAAGUUCACAGGAAAGAUGCAACGUCUGCAAAAUAACUUCCAAGAACUUGAUAGAUUCUACCAGGAACUCAUCGACGAGCAUUUGGAUCCAAACAGAACAAAAUCAAAAUUGCCGCAACAGGAGGAUAUAAUUGAUGUUUUACUUCAAAUAAGAAAAGAUCGUGGAUUUAAAGUUGACCUGACUUUGGAUAACAUCAAAGCAGUGCUCAUGGUGGAUAAUUUUAUAAAUAGUUAUAUGUAGACUCGUGCUUAGGCGCAGACUCAAAAUUUUGUGCAGAUGCCCAAUUUUACAGUGUUGUAAAACGUUUUAUAAUGCUGUAAAGUGCUCUUUGACGUCUCCGCCUGAGCAUGAUUAAUUUAAUAUAAUUUUAUUCGCUUUAACUAAUUUAAUAUGUAUAUUGUUUGCUUUGCAGAACGUAUUCGUUGCUGGAACAGACACAAGUGCAGCAACUGUGGUUUGGGCCAUGACCUAUCUAACGAAGAAUCCUAGAGCAAUGAAAAAAGUUCAACUGGAAAUUAGAUCGUUGAUUGGGGGCAACAAAGGCUUUGUAAAUGAAGAUGAUGUUCAAGAACUACAUUAUCUUAAAGCCGUAGUGAAGGAGACAAUGAGAUUGCAACCUACAGUGCCGUUACUACUUCCAAGAGAAGCAAUUCAAAAGUGCAUAGUAGAAGGGUAUGAAAUACCAGCUAAAACACGUGUUUUUGUAAAUGCAUGGGCGAUAGGGAGAGAUCCUGAAGCUUGGCAGAAUCCUGAGGAAUUUUAUCCGGAGAGAUUUGUUGAUAGUUGUAUUGACUUUAAAGGGCAAAACUUUGAGUUAAUACCGUUUGGUGCUGGCAGAAGAAUUUGUCCUGGGUUGAAUAUGGGAAUUGUAACUGUGGAGCUUGCACUUGCUAAUCUUCUUUACAAAUUUGAUUGGGAAAUGCCGCCUGGAUUGAAGAGCCAUGACUUUGAUGUUCUGCCCGGACUUGCCAUGCAUAAGAAGAACGUUCUUUCUCUUCGGGCUAAGUAUCAUGUUGAGUAGGUAAAUUAAGGCACCUCCAUCAAUAAGAAGGUAAAUUAAGGCACCUCCAUUAAUAAGGGUUUGAUCUAGCUAAAGGAAAUAUAUGUUAUGCGUCCUCAAUUGUGCUUCUCAAUGUUUUCUUUCUUUCUUCUUAUGUAUAAUGGAUGUUUACGCGAAUGGUUUUUAGUAAGUAAUUUUCUUUUAGUUCAAAAUUUUGGGAGGUAAGGGCUAGAAGAUAAUAGGGACUCUGCCCACUCUCUUAUACCUUUAAAAAAAUGAUAUGAAUGUGAGUAUCAAUUUAUCACAUUUAUUUUGUCUUACAUUUUUCUCUCUCCAAUUUCAAAUUAUAAAUGUAUAUAUAAAUACACGAAACGACCAAUCAAUAUUAUUUACUUGAUAUAACUAAUAAGUAAAUUCAUGGCUUUUUCUAUCACCCCUUUUUUUGUUAGGAGUAUCAGUAAAAUCAGCUCUGUAAUGCUCUACAUCUUUACCGUGAAAGCUGCAUUUUUAUGGAAUCAGCUUACAGUUAUGUACUAACCAAAAAAAAAGAAAAAGAAUAUUACAUCAAUUCUUCAUUGAGAUUUGAGACAUUUUCUUCCUCCAGAAAGUAUACAAGUUAAAAAAACUACACAUCAUUGUGAUUUCAUAACAGCAUCAUCCAUCACUUUCCUAUGAGCUUUUUAUGAGGCCGGAGGCUAAAGCACAAUCAGUUGAGCUGUUAUUGCAUUUCCCACAGCAAGACUGUGGCAAAUCAGUUGACUUUUGACGUUAAAUGGUGGUUUCGGCUUGCAGUCACUUGUGUUUGUUCAAUUUCAAUAAAGGAAAUUUCAUUUUUGUUAAAAUCCAUGAAUAUUAAUUACUACCUUGUUCGCUGUUCAGUAAAACUAAAACAACACCAAAACUUAAAUAUUUUCGCUAUAUCACAAACUUAAAUAUUUUUUUUUUCCCCCUAUACAUCCCUAGUAAGGUUGACAGAAAAAAACCAAAUUUCAAUCGGUAUUGGGAUCCCCUCCCGAAUGAUAGGGGAUUUGGCACUAAUUUUUAAAAUCGAUUCGAUACUAAUUUUAACAAACACUUGCUUUAAACCAACUUAUUCUUCUACCACAUAAUUUACUUAACUUUCAUUACAUGAAAAAUAGUCAUUUUUUUUACCUAACUUGUUCGACAAUAGUUAAAUAUGUUGGUGAGAGGGCAGUUUUCAAUUGUAAAAAUCAAGACAUCGAGAAAAACUAAAAUGGCUAUUUGGUUUUUCUAAUGAAAAACUAAAACAACUAUAUGGUUUAGCGUGAAAUUUUAGCUUCAUUGGUAUUUAUGACGAUUGUAACUAACCAUUAAAAAUGCAUAAUUAUUUUCUACCUGUAGUGAUUUAGGUGCUGUAGAAUUCGAUUAGCAACCUAAGCACUGCCCAAGAUCACAAACCAGAUCCACUAGAUGCUAAGAACCCAAACAAUCAAGCUUUAAGUUUCAACAAAACCUUUAACGAAAAUGGCUUAAUCAGAACACACUCAGAACAAGAAUUAGAAACCAAUCACACCCAAAAGAAAGAGAAAUAUUUACGUGGUUCGAUUGUGCAAAGAAGCACAAUCUACAUCCACGGGAGAAGCCCACAGAGCAAGCUUUAUUGAUGAUUCAAGUAAUCUUUACAGAGCAAUACAAGAGCUAACUACUAGGAUCAAGACGAAGCUUUCUCUCUAUCUUAACUCUCUCUAUCACGCUCUCAGAUCAUCCAUGAAACUGCUUCUUUAACCAGCUUAUAUAGCAGCUGAUAAAGAACCCAGAAGUUGCAGAUUUCCGCCACCUGGACUAACAGCUUCUAACUGAUUUGAUUCUCCACCCCCCGUGCACUUCACAUGUUUCACUUAAGCCUUUUGCCGAAACGUCUCCAGCUCCUGCCGUUUUGAACUUAAGUGAAUCACAUGCCAUGCUCGUGACUCCUGAGUAUAUUAAACAUAUUCCAAACGUUGUCGUUUAACAUGCUCAAGUUUUGGAUUCAACAUUUUAGUCCACACUACCGUUUCAAAAACAUAGUCGAAAAUAAAAUAAUAUUUUCAAUUAUUGUAAUUUUUAAUCAAAAAUAGGAAAAUAUUUUUAAACGUAACUAGGAGUUGGUUGAAAAAACCAUUAAAAAGAUAUAAAAUUUUAACAGACAACAUGGGCACCAAUAAUGUUUUUCACUACUAUAACUUGCAAGGUUGGUCAAAGCAAAAGCUGUAAGGGUAAGUAAAUAUAAUAUAAAAUUAUAUAUCAUCUAAAAGAAAAGUAAUUGUACGUUUUUUUUUCUUAGUUUACUAUUUUUUUUAUCAAACAUGAACUAGAUAAUUAAAUAAUUAAUUAAUUAAUGUAUUUUUUUUAUAGAAUUAAUUAAUGUACUUAAUUGAAAAUAAAAUUAACUUCUACGAUGCAAACAGAAUUUGAGCCCUCAACUGAAAAGAUAAAAUAUGAAAGUGCCUACCACUGGAGCAAGAAAUAAUUUUCAGUAAAUUAUAAAUUAAAUAAUUAUGAAAGGAUUGAUUUUUUCUAAAGGUUUUACUAGGUGCAACAAUGGAAUUGAAUUACCUUAUUUAACUUAGAAGAUAUUGAUUGAUUACAGCAUAGAUAUAAUGUAUGAUAUCUUAAAUUAAACAUCAAUUAACUUCGAAAUUAUAUUGUAGUUCAAAUAAACUCGAUAAUAUUUAUGAUCACAUUCUAUCUUAUACACAAACUUGAAACUUAUGUUAUUGAUUAAGUCUCAACUAUUUUAAUCAUUAUCAUUGAAUCAAUUUAGAAAUUGAUUAUCGAACUAGCUGGUAUUUUAUAGUUAAGUAUUUAAAGAAAUAAUGUCUAUGAUUGAUCAUAAUUAUUGUUGAAUCAAUUUGGAGACUAGCUAAUUUUCAAAUUAAUGUAAUUAUCUAGUGGUCAAUUUCAAUAAAUAGAGUCUAAUAGUUUUCAUAGUUGUAUUAUACUCAUAAUUGUGGAACAUGGAACGUAUACUUCAUACUUAAAACUUAUUGCAUAUAUUAAAAAAAAUAGAUGAUUAGUAAUUAACAUUUAAUUAUAGUUGAAAUAUUAAUUAUUAAAUUAGUCUAAUUGUCUAAGAACAGUCAUACAAUUAAUUUCAAUAGAUAACAAGAACUAUUGCAAUAAUUUUUUUAUAUUUUAAAACAUAUCUCAACUAUGAAUUAUUAAAACUAAUAUAGCUUCAUAGUUUUUAGGCCAAUAUCUAUUUUCAUCUUUUGUUUAUCUUAUUAAUUUAAAUUUAAAAUCUAUGUUAAAUAAUAAAGAUGUUCUAUCAAUCAAUUUAGGCUAUAGAUUAAUUAAACAAUCUAGUAAUCACAUAAUAGGUAUUACAUAUAAUUGUUCAAUUAUAAUAAACUUUAAAUUUGCAUUAAUGAGAUAAGAAGUUUUGUUUUGCAAUUAAUCGAAUCGUAUGCUAAUAAUUUUCAAUAUUUAUUAUUAUUUCAAUAUUUAUUAGUAUGAAAUAACUAACUUAGGAUAAAUAAAUUGAUUGAUUGAUUUUUUCUUAAAUUUUAAUAUCUUGUAUUAUCUCUAUUAACUAUUUGGUCCACUGCCACCUAACUAAAGUUUUUAGUGCAAGUGUAUGUGUACCUAUUCUCCACUCUCUCUAACAAAUAUCUCAAUUAGCCACCGAAUCAAAUCUAAUAAUAGAAUAAAUAAAUAAAAGCCACCGAUAUUAAGCGCAACGGAUGAAUUCAUCUCCUCUUCUUUUGUAUAUUCUCUCCAAAGCUUUCAACUCUAUUUUGGGGUCAUUUUCUUAAUUUUUUUUAAUUAAACUAUAUAGAAACUGGGGAGAUGUUUUCAGAUAUUUAUUAAUUUUUAUCCUUCACCUUUAAUUUCUUAAGUUUGACAUCAGUUAUUGUUGGCCUCACUCUCACAUGGUUGGUUUGAAGCUUUUCUAUCAUGUAGUUCGGUGAAAAUUAUUUGAUUAAUCGUGACUUGCAGGUAAGAAUUAUAUUAUUAUUUUGUGUUAUGUUUUUAAUUUAUUAGAUUUUAAUUCACAAUUUAUUUGAUAACAAGUGAAAGAGAUGUUAAUUAGGAUAGAUUCAUUUUCUUGUUUAGUAUAUAGGAUUUUCUACUUUAAUUUAAUUGUAUCUUAAUAUUUUUUUUAUUGUUAUCAAGGGAAUUAAGAGCCUAGGAAGAAAAAAUUAUGAUAUUCAACUUUCAUAAGGAUUCAGUUGCUCAAUCCACAUUGAUUCUAUCUUUUAUCAACAGCAAAAUAUCAUUGCAAGAGUGCCAUGUAGCCUUUGGUGUAUUUUAUUUUAUUUAAAUAUUUGUCAUGGAUUCAAUGAUUAAUACGUAUUUAUUUUAUCUUUUAGUAGCAUUAAGUUAUUGUAAUAGCAUCAUGUAGCUUUAAGUCAUUGUAAUGGUGUCUUGUAGCACUUGUACUUUGUUUGAGUUGCACAUGUAUUUGUUGAAAUUAUUUAUAAAAGGAUAUUUGUCGAUUGAUUCAUUGAUUUUUUUCUCCUGAGGCAAUUAAUAAAACCAUUUUCAGCCAUAUAUAUUUGUCUACUAAUUCAUCAUUUUUUUUCCUAGAGGCGAUUAAUAAAAUGAUUAUUUUAACGAUGAAGUAGAAUCAAAUGAAUUUCAAUAAUCAUCUUCUUGGAAAUACUAAGAUUCAAUUAGAACUAAUAUUUAUUCGACUAUAAUUUAUUUUUUCCAACUGUUUUUACCCCUAAAAAAUAGUGUAUUUUUAAUGGUAAUUAGUUAGUUGAAAUUGAUAUUGCAAAUACAACUGCUAUCGAAAAUACUCUUUUUUACUACUUAAGGUGGUCAUAAAUAUCAGUCAUUAGUCACAUGUCCAUAUUAAUUUUCAAUCUAUAUUUAUGUAUUUAUGAUUGUCAAUUUCGCACCAAAUAAGCAUAUUUACGGCGGCCAAUCGGUAAAAGUGUGUUUCUAACCUGGGUAUUAGCGAUUACCAGCGACUGAUUAAGGCCAUUGGAAAAACAUAUUUUCAACAGUAUAGCACUUGUUUCAACUGCAUUCAGCAGUUAUAAAAAGUUAUUUUUCUUGUAGUAUAUUUAUACCGCACAUUUUGACUACCACUAAUUUAAGUUGCCUGAUGAACAUAUUUACCACACAUAAAAACUAAAAUAUCUGAGAUAUUUCUUUAGAUAUUUCUAUAGAUAUUUUAACAUUUUAGAUUACAAUAUUUUUCAACACUUGAUUUAAUCACCAAUCGUUGACUAUGAUGACGACAAAAAAUCUAUUUCAUUGUGCUAACCUCACAAGUGAAAAGGACUCCACAAGAGUACAAAACAGAGCCUUGAUCUAAUAAUAUUACCGAAUAUAGCAUUUUGUUUCCUUAUAAAUGGAGAGAGGUUCUGUCUUUGCACUGCAUAACAGAUAUUAAUGGCUUUACUUAUCGUCAUCAACUUCCUUAUGUGUCUCUCAAUCUUCGUCAUCUUCUUUGUUUUGACAUCAAUUUUGUUGGCCUCACCCUUGGCUGAAAGCUUUUUCUGUCAUGUAGAACGGUGAAAAUUAUUUGAUUAAUUGUGGCUCGUAGGUAAGAAUAAUUAUUGUUUUUUGUGUUCAUGUUUUUAAUUUAUUGGAUUUUAAUUCACAAUUUAUUUUAUAACAACUGAAAGAGAUUUUAUUUAGGAUAGAUUCAUUUUCUUGUUUAGUAUAUAGGAAUUUCUACUUUAAUUUAAUUGUAUCGUAAUUUUUUUUUUAUAUAUAUUGUUAUGCGGUGAAUCAAGAGACCUAGGAAGAAAAAAUUAUGGUAUUCAACUUUCAUAAGGAUUCAAUUGCUCAGUCCAUAUUAAUUCUAUCUUUUAUCAACACCAAAAUAUCAUUGCAAGAGUGCCGUGUAGCUUUUGGUGUAUUAUUUUUUAUUUAAGUAUUUGUCAAAGAUUCAAUGACUAAUACAUAUUUAUUUUAUCUUUUAGCAAUAUUAAGUCAUUGUAGUAGUAUUGUGCAAUAGGGAUGACAAAACCCCGGGCCGGGUCCGGGUAUUGCAAUGACCGGACCCUACCCGGAUGCAACCGGUCCGGGUCCAGGUCUGGGCCGGGUUUUAAUCCGAGUACCCGAAUUUUAUAUUUUUUAAUAUUAUAUGUGUAUAUAUUUUUUAUUUUUUGGUAAUUUUAUAAGUUUUAAAUUUAUUUCAAUAAAAUUUGACAUGAAAAUAUAAACUUUAAGUGUUUAAAACUUUAUAUAUGUAUAAUAAAUUAGUCAAAUAAAUAUAAAUAUUUAAAAUAAUAUAUAUUUUAUAAUAUUUUUGUAAUAAAAUCCGGGUUCUGGGUUUAUCAAGUGAUGUCCAAGACCGACCCGGCUUCAUACCCGGCCCAUAACGCCCGGGUACGGUUCGGGUCCAGACCGGGCGGGUAUUUUUGCCACCUCUAUCUUACAUCUUUAAGUCAUUGUAGUAGUGUGGUGUAGGAUUUGUAUUUUGUUUAAGUUGCACAUGUAUUUGUUGAAAUUAUUUAUAAAAGAAUAUUAUUCCACUAAUCCAUUGAUUUUUCUUUUUUCUAUGGGGCAAUUAAUAAAAUCAAUUUGGGCCAUAUAUUUGUCAAUUAAUUCAUUGAUCAUUUUCCUAGGGGUCCAGCUACCUUGCGUCAUGGGUUUGGUACCGCAGUUGUUUGUCUCUUAGCGAAUGACCCUUUAGAUUGUACUGAAUGCAUUCUGCACUAUGGUCCAAUAAUUCUCUUUCAAAUACACUUAGGUCCCCAAAUCAAUAGCUCAAUUCUUCACAUUCAAUUUAAAGCUUUUUUUAACUUCAUUAUCAUUUAUUUAUCAAACAUCACAUACCUGAUGCAGAUCCACCAGGUGUUGAGUUUCUACCAGCAUUCACUCUUGAGCUUGAUGUUGUUUCCAAGUUCUUGCAACGCUUCUGCUUGGCACAGAGAAGUAAAUUUUGUAAGUAAGUACACUCAAUCAAAUACUUCAUACUUAACAUUGAUUGCAUAUAUUAAAAAAAAUGUUAGAUGAUUAGUAAUUAACAUUUAAUUAUAGUUGAAAUAUUGUUUAUUAAAUUAGUCUAAUUGUCUAAGAACGGUCAUACAAUUAAUUUCAACAUAUAAAAAAACUAUUGCAAUAAUUUAUUUAUAUUUUGAAACAUAGCUCAACUAUGAAUUAUUAAAACUAAUAUAGCUUCACAGUUUUUGCAUCAAUAUCUCUUUUCAUCUUUCGCUUAUCUUAUCAAUUUAAAUUUAAAAUCUAUGUUAAAGAUGUUCUGUCAAUCAAUUUAGGCUAGAGAUUAAUUAAACAAUCUAGUAAGCACAUAAUAGGUAUUAUUAUUAAUUGUUCAAUUAUAAUAAACUUUCAAAUUGCAUUAAUGUGAUAAGAAGUUAUAUUUUGCAAUUAAUCGAAUCAUAUGCUAAUAAUUUGCAAUAUUUAUCAGUAUGAAAUAACUAACUUAGAAUAAAUUAAUUAAUUGAUUGAUUUUUUCUUAAAUUUGAAUAUCUUGUAUUAUCUCUAGUAACUGUUUGGUCCACUUAAUUACUAAAAUCCCACCUAACUAAAGUUUUUUGUGCAAAUGUAUAUUUACCGUAACCCACGUUCUCCAUGCUCUCUAACAAAUCUCUCAAUUAGCCACCGAAUCAUAUCCAUUAAUAGAAUAAAAAUAAAAGCCACCGAUAUUAAGCACAAUGGAUGAAUUCAUCUCUACUUCUUUUGUAUAUUCUCUCUAAAGCUUCAAACUCUAUUUUAGGGUUAUUUUCUUAAUUCUUUUGAAUCAAGCUAUAUAGAAUCUGGGGAGAUGUUUUCAAAUAUUUAUUGAAACGACCCGCCCCGAAUCAACCCAGACGAGUUUAUCUAGUCUCAUCAAAACGGACUUGAUAAUAAUUUUAUUCGUAAAGAUUCUGCCGAAAAUUCGGCAGAGUCUCCUUUAUAUAUAUAACACUCCCAAUCUACAAAUAUGAAUAUAACACUCUCAAUACAAGUCAAUAUACAACAAACUCUAGUGCUCAACAUCCUCAACCAAAAUGCUGAGUUUUAUAUCUCCAGAGUCUCAAAAGAUAAUAUUAUAACUAAUAUUAAUAUCUCAAUUUAUUCUUAAUCCCAAAAAGAAUAAUAUAACAAAAGUAUACAAUCCCAAAAGAACAAGAUGACCAAGAUAUCCUAACAAAAACAUUUAUAUCUUCUAACACCAUCACGUGACCAAGACUCAAAAUAUAUUUACAGUCGCUGGGUCGGUCUGGUGUACCUGCAACCUCCUGGUGAGGGGGGAAAAAUAUAAUAAAAACGGGAUGAGUCUAAAACUCAGUGAGAUCAGUGAGUGGAUAGUAGUUUUGAAAAUUAAUUCUUACUUUAAAAGAAAUAAUCAUAUCAUUUCCAAACAUGAUUGCACUAAACCAUAAGCGAGAAACCAGAAAUAAAUAAUUAAACAUUUAAAUCAGAUUACUAACCAUGGAAAUCAUAUCACAAUAUCAUAUAGAAUUCACAAAUCUGAAAAUCAUCACCAAACAAGUACCCAGGGAAAUAAUCUCGUCAUAUCCGGACCUCAACGGACGAGCAAUGACGUACUAUCUGGGUAACGUCACGCCCCGGAGCUACACGGAUAGACAGGGAAAUACCAUCUCAUAUCUCAUCAUAUCCGUGCAUGCAUAAUCUAGUCCCCAAAUGACAAAAACACCCAAGCACAUGGCCCAAAGCCUAUGUGUGUACUCAGACGGGCCCCAAAGGCCUGUAUCUCAUCUGUAUCAUUUGUAUCUCAAUAUCUGUUUGUAUCUUAUAUCUGUAUCUCUGUAAUCAUCAUACCGCAUGCAUAUGCCCCCAAAAGGCAAAAACGCCCAAACACAUGGCCCAAAGCCUCUAUGUGUGUUCAGACGGGCCCCAAAGGCCUCUCAUCUCAUAUCACCUGUAUUACUGUAUCUGGAGGAGAAGGAUACUGUCUAAUGAUUUCAAAAACAAUCAUUAUACUCAUAUUCACAUACCUUUUAAUCAUACUUUAAAUCAUACCACAUUCAAAUCCACUUUUCUUAUCUUUAAAAUAUUAUCAUGCUUUAUUCAAAGUCGAUACGCAAAAUCAAUAACCAAACAUUUUAAUAAAAUACCAAUGCGUGAAUAAAAAUCCAUUUCGAGGAAAUCAUUAAAUCAGAACAUUUAAAAUACUUAUUUCACAAACAUGCAUUACUAUCAUAAUUAACUAUGAAAAUAGGUUUUGUAUAUUCCACUCACAGUGACGGUGUUCACGGUCGGUUAUCGUCCACGUCCGCGGACCGGUUCUCGCUCGCGGAUCCUCCUAAAUCAAGGAAACGACAUAAUUAUUUUCCGUAAAUCGGAAUUACGGCUAAAUUUAUGCAAUAAACUCGAAACGAACAUCUAUCCAUAAUUGACAACUCCCGUGUCCAUAAAAUUACUAAAAUGCCCUUGAGUCCGUAAAUCAUUAACACAUACUCUGAAAUUGUACAACACCGAAUUACCCUCGGAAUCGUAAUUACACCCACUCCUCAAUUCUAGGAAUUACUAAAAUAUCCACAGGCUCAGAAAUUACAAAAUUGCUCUCAUAGUGUGAAAUUACCAAAAUGCCCUUGCCGGUCAACGGUCACAGGAAUUUGGUCAACGCUGGUUAGGAAGCUCAAAUCUGAAAGUUCAAAUCACGCUGAGUUCAAUGGUACCGGCGGUGAGCUCCAUGCGCGGCAACGGCGCCGGAAUCGAGCUCGACAGCCGUGAAUUCCAACAAUCGACCGGCGGCAAAAUAGUGACUCUCGGUGCCUAUGGAUGGUCGGAAAUGGAAGAGGGAGUCGUGGGGAACAAGAUCCAACCGGUGGUGUCACCCAAAACCGGCGAAAAUCCCGGCGGAGUAAAGUGAAACAAUCGCGGGUUCAAGCUUCAAUUGCCGGCGUUCCGGUUGGUUUUCGGCGGCGAGGAUGGCACGGGAACGACGGUCGGCUUCUAAGCUUCAGAUUGGUACCAAGCUCGGCUGAAACGGUGGCCGGAAAUGGGAGAUAUGGUCGGGUCAAGGUCGCCGGUUCCGGGUCGAGUUUUCGGGUCCGUAGUUGGAUCGGUUUGGCAGUUUCCCUUCACUCUCUCUCACACGUGCAUGUUUUUACCCUGUUUCCAGCUUAUUCUUUUACUUAUAAACUCCUUAACCGCCUCAUUUUCAUUUUGAAAUUCACAUAUGUUACAUUUAUUACCUUUUGUCCUUCACCUUUAAUUUCUUAAGUUUGACAUCAGUUUUGUUGGCCUCACCCUUGGCUGAAAGCUUUUUCCGUCACGUAGAUCGGUGAAAAUGAUUUGAUUAAUUGUGGCUCGUAGGUAAGAAUAAUUGAUGGUUGUCGAAGUCAGUAAAAAUAAAUACUUACUCUAAAUAAAUUGUGUAUAGUGAUUGAGCAGGGUCGUGUCCACAGAGAUCGGUAAUAUUUAAAUCUUUUUUAAAAUGUAAAUUGCAAAAUGGGGGGAUUGUUGAUAAUAAUAAAAAUCAAAUUAAAAUUGGGAAAAGCUUUAGUUGAAGGAAUUAACUCAGCUUGAUUCGACUACUGAUCAUUAAUUCAAAUAUAAAUCAUUACUACUUAUGAAUAGACCGGUUAUAGCUACUGAGACCCUCUAAUAGCUAAUCUCUCAUUAACUAGUCGAUAACCAAGGUACGACCAUUGGUUAUUUCCCUAAUCAAUAGAUAACCCUAGAUACGAUCAUAAAAUUUAAUCAAUUGACAGCCUGAAAAAUCAGAGAGACCCAAAUCCUAAUCAACAAACGCAUACGAUGGUUCAUUUAAAUUAGAUUGUUUAUUCUCAUAACACAACGCACUACUAUGCUAUUUGUCACAAAUAUUAAAAUCUUCAUACGAUGAAUCCUUUAAUUGACAAUAGAUUAAGUUGAUAAUUAAAUAGUGGCCAAUUAUCUAAUUAACAAACAUAAUCAUGACAAUAAUUUAGAGAAUAAACAAAUACCCAAAAAGUAAUAAAAUAAUUAAAGCAUAAGAAAGAUCUCACAGUAAUGAUGAAUCAAAGCUUCAUUAAUCUUCAACCAGAAUAAUAGGUUUAGUUAUUCACAGAGAAAAGAGAAAAAUUUAGAUCUAGGGUUUUUUUUUUACAAUAGAUUCCCCCCUUUAAUUCUCUCUCCCCUCUUCUCCUCUAGAGUUCUUUUUAAAAUAAAAUACUAAUAUCUAUUAUCUAAAUAUUAAAUUCGGAAUUACAAAAAUAACCAAAAAGAUAAAACACGUUAAACUAAUAACUGCAGAUCCGUAGUUGACAAUACGCGUCCACGCCUUAUCAACAAAGUUCUUCUGAAGCUCAUAAUUUCUCCAGGAAAACAAUCAUCCUAAAAAAUCAUCUUGUAGCUCAACUUUAUUACCAAUCAAUAGAAUUACACCUACAGAAAUAAAACACAAGUAAAUCACUAUUAUUAAGUGCAAAACAUCGAUAUUAAAGAAAGUAAACAAUGCAAAACUAGAGCAUAAAUUGCACUCUAACAAUAAUUAUUGUUUUUUUGUGUUCAUGUUUUUAAUUUAUUGGAUUUAGUUCACAAUUUAUUUUACAACAACUGAAAUAGAUGUUAAUUAGGAUAGAUUCAUUUUCUUGUUUAGUAUAUAGAAUUUUCUACUUUAAUUUAAUUGUAUCUUAAUUUUUUUUUUUGUUUAUAUAUUGUUAUGCAGUGAAUCAAGAGACCUAGGAAGAAAAAAUUAUGGUAUUCAACUUUCAUAAGGAUUCAAUUGCUCAGUCCACAUUAAUUCUAUCUUUUGUCAACACCAAAAUAUCAUUGGAAAGAGUGCCGCGUAGCUUUUGGUGUAUUAUCUUUUAUUUAAUUUUUUGUCAAGGAUUCAAUGACUAAUACAUAUUUAUUUUAUCUUUUAGCAACAUUAAGUCAUUGUAGUAGCAUCAUGCGGCUUUAAGUCAUUGUAGUAGUGUCGUGUAGGAUUUGUAUUUUGUUUAAGUUGCACAUGUGUUUGUUGAAAUUAUUUAUAAAAGAAUAUUAUUCCACUAAUCCAUUGAUUUUUCUUUUUUCCAUGGGGCAAUUAAUAAAAUCAAUUUGGGCCAUAUAUUUGUCAAUUAAUUCACUGAUCAUUUUCCUAGAGGGGAUUAAUAAAAUGAUAAUUUUAACGAUGAAGUAGAAUAAAAUGAGUUUCAAUAAUCAUUUUCUUCGAAAUACUAAAAUUUAAUUAGAAAUAUAAAUUUUUUCAAACUAAAAUAACAUAUUUUCAAUUGCAUAACCAAUUAGAACUAAUAUUUUUCCGAUUUUUUUUCAUCUGUUUUUACCCCUAGAAAAUAGUGUAUUUUUAAGAGUAAUCAGUUAGUUGAAAUUGAUAUUGCAAAUACAACCGCAAUCGAGAAUUCUCUCCUUUACUACUUAAACUAGAAAAUAGAACCGCGUUUCACGCGGCUUUGAAAAAAUUUAGUAUUAUCUUUUUUUCUUACUUUACACUUGAUGAAAUUGAUAAAAAAUAUGAAUUGAUUUUUUUUUUAAGAUGAGGCGGCCUUAUAAAAAAUAAAAAAAGAUAUUAGCCAGCAAUACAAAUAAAGAAGCAACGCAAGAUAAAGAAUAAAAUGAGAUAAUAUAUUAUAGAGUGAUUUUAUUCAUUCUAAUUGUGUGUGUACAAAAUAAAAAGAUGAGCUCUCCUUUUUAUAGUUACAUAAUCACUCCAUGAAAUUAAUGAAAAAUUAUGGAUCAUAAUUCAUUGUGAGAUAGUGGGAGUUAUAGGGAAGCUAAAGGUUGCUAAUGGGAGAUAGUGGGGAGACUAAGAGAUAUAUGUUAUGAACAUCUACAUUUAUUUUAAUAAAUUCAUAACACUCCCCCUUGGAUGUUCAUUACAAAGAAUAUGCCUCAUUAAAAUCUUUACAUAAUUGUUAUUGUGUAAUAACAAUCAAAUUAAUUAUGAAAAGAUGAAAAGCCAAAUCUAAAAGAAAAUUUAUCUAUUUAUUAGAUAAUAGAGAAUAUACAAAGAUGAGAAAUUGUGAUGCCACAUCACCUCCUCAAAUCCCAACUUUAUAUAUAUAUAUAGAUUGGUCAUGAAUAUGAGUCCUCAGUCACAUGUCCAUAUUAAUUUUGAGAAAUUUAUAAAAAUGACCAUAGAACUUUUACGUUUUUCAACUUUAACCCCCCAAAAUUUUUUCUAUCAUAACUAGCCAAAUAUCUUAUUUUUGGACUAGAUUACCCUCAUCACUUUCAUCAAAUUCACAAAGGUAUGCCACUUUUUCAAUUCCAGCACCACUAAAUACGAAUCUUCCUCAACAACUUAACAAACCUUCAUCACUCUCAACAAACUUCAUCACUCUCAAUAAAUCAACAAAUUCCAUCAAACAAACAUUGCAUAAUUGAAGAUACAAUCAUCAAUUGGAGAGCUUCUUAAAAUUAGUUUAUGCUCUUACACAAUGUAAACCUUUAAUCUAUUGAUUUUAUCAACUAAGUUCGAAAUUAAAGUGGGUUUUGUUGCAAAUGUUGUUAUUUUUCAUUCAUAAAACAAUGUGAUUUGUUAAAGUACUUAGUUUGAGUUGAGAAAUGAAGAAAAAUCAUUAAAAAUACAGAAAAAUCGGGCAAAAAAUGAAGUCCAAAACAAGUGAGACAAGCAGUGAGACAUGUGUCUGUCUCACAUAAACCCACUGAUUUUAUGGAAUAUAUGAUUUUGGAUUUGAUUUGUCUCGUCGUAAGCUUCGAAACGGUAUAAUUAUUACAAUAUUUUGGCUCACUACUCCGAACCCCAAUACACAUAAUCUCUCAAAUCACUAGAACAAGAGCUUUUAUUAUUUAAGCUCUACAAAACUCUCUGCUCUACAGGAAAUGCUUCUCACAAAAUUGGAUGCAGAAAUGAGGAGGAGGAACCUCUUUUUAUACCAAAACUUGGCUACUGUUCAUGCUUUAUUUAAUUAUUAUUUUUUUUCUUCUUCCUUUUCGGUCCGGCAUUCAUUUUUUCUUCCUCUUUUGUCUUCUUUCUUCUUUUCUUUUGUUCCGGUCAAAGAAGCAACCAAUGCAUUCUUCUUCAAAAUCAGUGGGCCCACCUUCUAGAAGGGUGGUGCCCACAUGCCAUUUUCAUCAUUAAAUAGAUGAGGGUUGGAAUAGAAUCUUUUCAAUGUGAAUCAUGAAGGAUCUAUUCAAAAUAAAAGUGAUAAAGAUUAAGAAAGAACUUAAGAAGCUAAGAGCUUUUAGAAGUCUUUGAAGAAAUAAUAUUAAUUUGAAAGGAAAAGAAUUUAAAAUGAAGAAGAAAAAGAUAAUUGAUAAGAAGUAAGACUAACUGUACAUCUGAUUGAGGAACAGGCUUGUUAAUUCAAACUAUUAUAACCAAUUGGGAAUUGAAUUAAGUUAACAGUUAACUCGUAAUUGAAUGUCUAAACUAACAAUGUAUACAAUUACAGAUGAGACUAUAAAAUUGCAAAAAUACUGCUGAUUGUGAAUCAAUUUGAACAUGCCAAUCCUUAGGAAUUCCUUUCAGUAUCAUGGGAUUUAGAUCUCAAUUACCUUUUUUAUUUGAGUACGAUGACAUCCCGAACUAUCAAAAAUACCCACUUGUCCAAACGUGCCUAUGUCCACUUUAUCAUUUAUAUAUGAAAUGUUCUAAUUAAAUGGAGCAAGUCCACAUAAUACAAUCAUUUUCAAUUACCCAGCAUUUGGAAUACAGAUGCUUUGUUUCUUCGUUUUUUUUAUUUUUUGUUCUUUUUUAUUUACUUGAUACAACUAAUAAGUAAACUCAUAGCAUUUUCUAUCACCUCUUUUUUUUUUGGGAGUAUUAGUAAAUCAACUCUGUAAUGCUCUGCCUCUUUACCAUAAAAGCUGCAUUUUAAUGGCAUCAGCUUACAGUUAUGUGUACUAAGUAAAACAAUUCUUUAUUGUGACAUUUUCAUCCUCCAGAAAAUACAUAAAUAAAAUAAAGGAAAUUUUAUUUUUGUUAAAAUCCAUGAAUAUUAAUUACUACCUUGUUCACUGUUCAGUAAAAAUAAAACAACAGUUUUUUUUUUUUUUAAUUUAACAAUAUUGUGUUAGAAUAUACUUCCCAGGUAAGGUUGAUAGAAAAAACCAAAUUUCAAUCAGUAUUGGGAUUCUGUCCCAAAACAAGCACUUACUUAUUACAACUUUUACUAACUUAUUUUUCCACCACACAAUUUACUCAAUUUUUAUUUAUACCACACAAUUUAACUUAUUUUAACUACCACUAACUUAAGUUACUUGGCUAGGGUAAAAUUAUGUUGCAACUGUGGUAUGAUACCACAAUUACAAUCAAUCAUUAAAUUUACAGUUGUACAAUUGUAUUUAUUGGACCUAAUGAUUAAAAGUAACUGUGGUAUCUUGCAACAUAAUUGGACCUACUUUGCUAACAUAUUAUAGAAACCAACAUCCCAGAUUUUUCUUAAGAUAUUUCUACAGAUAUUUUAACAUUUUAGAUUAUAAAUUACUUUUCAACACUUAAUUUAAUCACUGAUUGUUGACGACGACGAAGCCAACAAAUUUGUUUCGUUGUGCUAAUCGGACAAGCGAUAAGGACUUCACAAGAGUACAAAACAGAGCCUCGAUCUAAUAAUAUUACUGAACAUAGCAUUUUUGUUUCCUUAUUAAUGGAUUUGUUUCCUUAUUAAUGGAGAGAAGCAGUUCUGUUUUUGCAGUGAUUAAGCGCAUAGAAGAUAUUAAUGGCUUUACUUAUCAUCAUCAACUUCCUUUUGUGUCUCCCCUUCUUCCUCUUCUUCUUUGCUUUGCAAAGGCUCAUAACCUCAAGAAAUAAUACUAAAUUACCACCCGGCCCCUGGGGCCUUCCCUUAAUCGGUAACUUACACCAGUUUGAUGUCUCAAAGCCUCAAGUGUCAUUUUGGGAGCUGUCACGGAAAUAUGGCCCCCUCAUGUCCUUGCGUCUUGGUUUUGUGCCAUCCCUAGUAGUUUCCUCAGCAAAACUGGCUAAAGAGAUAUUAAAAACCCAUGACCUUCAAUUUUGUAGCAGGCCAGCCUUGGUAGGACAACAAAAGUUAUCUUACAAUGGUCUUGAUUUGGCGUUUUCACCCUAUGAUGGUUAUUGGAGAGAGAUAAGAAAAAUUUGUGUCAUUCAUCUCUUUAACUCUAACAGGGUAGAAAAUUUUCGACCCAUUAGAGAAGAUGAAGUUUCAAGAAUGAUUGAAAAGAUUUCAAAAUCAGUUGCUGCUUCUAAUCCCGUAAACUUAAGCGAGGUAAUGAUGUCUCUUACCAGCACCAUUAUUUGUAGAAUUGGAUUUGGCAAGAGGUAUGAUGACGAUAAAGCAACAAGUGCAAGAAGUAGAUUCCAUGCCCUGCUUAAUGAAACUCAAGCCUUGUUUGUAAGCUUUUUUGUUACAGAUUAUUUUCCUUUCAUGGGCUGGAUUGAUAAGCUCACAGGAAUGAUGCAACGCCUGCAAAAUAACUUCCAAGAACUCGAUAGAUUCUACCAGGAACUCAUCGACGAGCAUUUGGAUCCAAACAGAACAAAAUCAGAAUUGGCGCAACAGGAGGAUAUAAUUGAUGUUUUACUUCAAAUACGAAAAGAUCGUGGAUUUAAAGUUGACUUGACUUUGGACCACAUCAAAGCGGUGCUCAUGGUGAAUAAUUUUAUAAAUAGUUAUAUGUAGACUCGUGCUCAGGCGCAGACUUAAAAUUUUGUGCAGAUACCCAAUUUUACAGUCUUGUAAAAUGGUUUAUAAUGCUGUAAAGUGCCUUUGAUGUCCGCCUGAACAUGAUUAAUUUAAUGUAAUUUUAUUUGCUUUUAACUAAUUUACUAUGUAUGUAUGUAUGUUGUUUGUUUUGCAGAACGUACUCGUUGCUGGAACAGACACGAGUGCAGCAACUGUGGUUUGGGCCAUGACUUACCUAAUGAAGAAUCCUAGAGCAAUGAAAAAAGUUCAACUGGAAAUCAGAUCGUUGAUUGGGUGCAACAAAGGCUUUGUAAAUGAAGAUGAUGUUCAAGAACUGCAUUAUCUUAAAGCGGUAGUGAAGGAGACAAUGAGAUUGCAACCCACAGUACCAUUACUAAUCCCAAGAGAAACAAUUCAAAAGUGCGUAAUAGAUGGGUAUGAAAUACCAGCUAAAACACUUGUCUUUGUAAAUGCAUGGGCGAUAGGAAGAGACCCUGAAGCUUGGGAGAAUCCGGAGGAAUUUUAUCCGGAGAGAUUCGUUGAUAGCUGUAUUGACUUUAAAGGGCAACACUUUGAAUUAAUACCGUUUGGUGCUGGCAGAAGAAUUUGUCCUGGGUUGAAUAUGGGAAUCGCAACUGUGGAUCUCGCACUUGCUAAUCUUCUUUACAAAUUUGAUUGGGAAAUGCCGCCUGGAAUGAAGAGCCAAGACUUGGACUUUGAUGUUCUGCCGGGAAUUACUAUGCAUAAGAAGAAUGCUCUCUCUCUUUCGGCUAAGUAUCAUGAGUAGGUAAAUUAAGGCACCUCGGACAAUAAGAGUUUGAUCUGAACUAAAUAUAUGUUAUAGAGAUUGCAUGUAUGUCCUGAAUUGUGCUUCUCAUGUUUCCUUUCUUUCUUCUUAUGUAUAAUGAAUGUUGAUGUCUAAGUGCCCAUAGGCUGAGUGGUUUUUAAUAAUUAAAUUUCUUUUAGUUCAAAAUUUUGGGAGGUAAGGACUAGAGAAUAAUAGUUACUCUGCUCACUCUCCUAUACUAAAAAAAAAAGGUUGAUAUGAAUGUGAAUAUUAAUCUAGUACGUUCAUUUCAUCUCAUAUUUUUUCUCCUAUAUUUUUUUCUUUAAAUUUAACUUCUAUCACUUAACCUGCUAUCUUUUUAUAUGAUUGGAUAGAGAUUGAAAUUUUUGCUGUUCCAUCUCAAUGUUAAUGCUUAUAUUAUCUUCACACCUUUACUGUAAUUUUUUACUUUUACUAUUAGAUGCUGAUAGGGUCUUUUCUUGGAGAUUGCUUCACAAAAAAAAUUCUGAAAGAAGAUUUUGUUGAUCGGAUAGCAAGCUUAUCCAUAUAGUUUAAUGGAUUAUCUGCAAGAGCUCUUUUUAGUGCGCAUACAGUUGUCCCUUCAUGUUAGCAUAUUCAUUCUGUCGUCAAUGAACUUUUGCAUUUAAAUGGUAUCAGUUCAAGUGAUGAAUGAAUUUUACCUAUUGCCUAUCUUGGACUAAAUUUAAUUUCAAAAAAUGAGCUUCCAGCUUAUGACUUAUACGUAUCUUGCACUUUGGUUUUACGAUCACCAUUGGAUGGAAGAGUGGCUCGAGUUUGUUAAUUGCUUCAGUCCCAGGACUAGUGUUUGGAAACAUAAAAUUUCUCAGUUCAGCAGCUAUAAAUCUGUUUCAUGAUUGUUAUUGCACACUAUUUCCUAUAUUUUUGUCUCCAUGCUCAUACUGAAUUAGUGGUGCAUUUGUCAUCUUUCGCCUCUCAUUAAAAUGUGCUUAUUAUUUUUUAUUUCAAUCGUAGGAUGGGAAGAUUGAUACUGAUUCCAUCUACAAUGGGUUUAAAGACAACGUGAGGUUAAUGUGGGAGCGUUUCUUGUCAUCCCAGCAAAUGUUGACAUAAACAACAGACUGCAAGCUUCCCCUACUCUCUGUUCAUAUUUGCAUUUGUGUGCAUCUUGUACUUGUUGUUGCAGAAAGAUGAAUAUGUAAGAAUAAGAUCGUGUUUGUAUGCAAUGGUCAAAUGUUUUUGCAAAAAAUGUCGUUGCUUGAGUUCCUCAAUUCUCAUUCUGAACUUCAAAUUUUGUACAUUUCUUUAACUUAAUUUUUUUUUUUUCUGUGUAAUAGUAGUAUAAGUUUGGUAUCAAAAUUAAGCUAGUGACAUACUUGGAUCACUUGGGAUCCACUUGCAAAUGUAUUUUGAAGAAAAGUUUUCUCCCCGCCUUUUAUGUAAUCACACCCACCAGUAAUAUGGUAAUUUAUUGAAAGGUCCUUGAUGCCCGGUAAAAGUUAUAAUUAAAUUAAUAAACUUAUCUUUUUAAAUUAAUAAACUCAUCUUUUUGAAUAAGUUCAUCAUUUUGUACGUAUAUUAGUUUUUUUUUUUUAAAUUCCUUUUAUUUCUAAACUAUUGGUUGGAAGCAAAUAUUUCACUGUAAUCUCCUGUCGACCAAAGGAGAUGCCUUUCCCAAAGCAAGAAAAGAAAACACAAAAAGCCCACUUCAAAAACUUGUGCAAGAAGGAGAUGUGAUUACGCUGUCUUUCUGUUUCUUGGUGCGUGUAUAGAUAUAUACAUACACACAUAAGUCUGAGGACCAGCUGGCCAACAGCCCACUAGGAAGCAAUUUUAAAAUUUUUGGUCAGUAUUGUUCUUUAUAUCUUAUGAAUUUUUCCUUCAAUUAUUAUAUUUUCACUCAGUUUUGUUUUUGGGCACGCGUUAUGUGAUUUUCUUUUGAUGAUUUCCGUGGCUUCUUUUUAGCUCUUAUUUUACUGUUUCUACUGGUUAGUUUAGCUACUGUCUACUGAGAUAAAAUUAUUUGCUUGAAUAACUUAAUCUUUUGCUAUUUUAUUACGUUCAGUUUAUAUACAGUUGAUUCAUUGUAACAAAUGUUAUCAUAAAUGAUUCUUGAGUAAUUUCAUUUAUUUACUUUUUCUUCUUUCAUAGUUGGCCUGUACGGUAUCAUUUACUUUUAUCUUUUUUCAAAUUUCUUUUAAUCUACAGAAUGUUUGUUUUAGUCCUGAUCUUGGGUUACUGAAAUGUUUCAUUCCCUUUUCCUAAGUAUUUUUGUUGCUUGUUUAUCGGGCAAUACUGCAACAGUGAUUUUAAUUCACAAAAUUCUGUAAAUACUUAUUAUUCUUAGUGUGGUUUUAAGGUAGAGUGAAGUUAAUAUUAUCAUAAUGGCUUACAUUCCUCCACAUAUGAGGCAUACGAAGGACCCCCAGAGGCCAUCUCCAGUUCCAGAGAUGAUUGUGCCUAAAUUCAACAGAAAAUUAAACUUGGGAUCAUCCAAGCAUAAUGCAGACAUAAGUGGAAAGAUCGUGUAUGCAGAUCCUGCCAUACACAGGUGGUUCAUUUGUGGCUUGGAUAAUGAUAGCAGCAGUCCUUCUGUCCGCUUUGUGGAGUUUUCAGACGACCCUGUUGAGCAUAAAAAAUCGACGACCAUUAAUCUGGCUCGAGGUUACUGAUCUGCAUUUGUAAUUUUAUCUUAAAUAUGUUCUACUUUCUUUCUUUAUUUAUAUCUGGUGCUAACUUUAGUUAUAUUGACAUUUGGAUUUUGGGUUGGUAGAUAACGAUAAAUUGUGUGGGAAUACAUCAAGAAGCCCAUGGGAAUCGAUAGCAGAAAAUGUAUGGCCAGAUGUAUUGAGUGCUUGUAAUAUUGUCAAGAACGAAAUGGAGGAAAAGCCAACAAUGGUUGCUAGAUUUGGCCAUCAUCUUUUCCGUGAGUAUGUGAUCUGGUUCCAUUGCUGUAACAGCUUGAAUUUUUUAUUAGGUCAUUCCUUUUCUUUGGACUUUGAAAUUAAAGCAGCAAAAAUGCAUAUUCAUACUUAAUUCUGACAGAAAUCUUAUGGUCAUAUAAGUGGUGGCAGCUAAAAUUAUGAGCUUUACCAUUAACCCUACCACCAGCUGUGGAUGACUGUAAAUCGGAUCUCUAAACCAGGGACAAAAGUUAAAAUUGCUUUUAAAAGCCAAAGAGGAAAAUGGCAAUUUAUAGUGCAUGCACUUCUUUCAGACUUGUAUCUCAUAGAAGCUUUCAUGGCAUCUGGAAUUUGGCUUUGGCUUUGCGUAGGACAUUUCAAUUGUUGCUGGUGGAAACAAAUAUAUCCAUUGUCUUAGUUUUGCUUGAUUUCCGGUGCAAGAAACAAAUAAAUUUGUUGCCGUGGCCAAGUUUUGUUGUUUGAUAUUUCAUUGGGACAACAAAGUAUACCACUGCUUCGCCUAUUUCUUACAUCUUUGCAUCAUAUAUUUCCAUUCUUCUAUCACAUCUUUGAAGCUUCUACUAGUUCUCAUAUUAGAAGCGCCUCAAAGAAAUAAUUAUUAUAUUAUUCGUCUUAAUGAAGGAGUGACAUACUGAGCUUAGAAAAUGCGAAAGAAGGUCAGGUUGCUGAAUCUGCUUUGAGCCCACUGAGGAGAUGCUUUUACACUGGUGUCCCUCCUACAUACAUGGGAAAAAUUGUAAAUGAAGUUGUGCCAAAAAUUGGGGUUGGUUUUGUAGAGAACAAGGAUAUAUACCAUGUCAAGGUAGUUCUCCUGCAGUCCUGCUAAAUACUUUAGUAGUCAUGACCAAGUUUCUUUUAUCUCUCAAUUAAUUAGCCAUUGAUUCCCCCCCCCCCUUUCUUUUUCUUGUGUAGUUGUCUGAUGGCACACGACAAAUUACGUGCAAAUGUACUGUUAAAGAAGAUCAAAAGCUUCAUCUCUAUAAGGCAAGUCUUUUGCUACUGGCUGAGUAUUAUUUAUGGACAACGGGUCCAAGUUUAUAAGUUGCCUCUUGUGUUAAGGAGACUUUUGCUAGUGGAAACAUUGAAACAAGACUUAUGAUGUUUUGAUUUGAAUGAUAUAAUCUUUUCACUGUGAAUUAUGAAGGAGAUGUCGAAUAUAAGCGAUAGAUAUCAAGAAAGAGACGAAACCUUUGUGUCUCAAAAGAACCUUUUAGAAGUCUCUCCAGGAAUAAUCUCAGUUAAGAGGAAAAGAAUUUAAAAUGAAAAGAAGGAAGAAAAUUCUCAAGAAGUAAGACUAAUUCUACAUCUAAUUGAGGAACAGGCUUGUUAAUUUAACAAGGAAAGCUCCAGUAGCUAUUUAUUAUAAACCAAUUAAAAAUUGAAUUAAAUUAAUAGUUAACUUGUAAUUGAAUGUCUAAUCCAACAAACUAUGCAUAAGAUUACAGACGUAACUAUGUAAUACAAAAAACCUCUGCUUAUUGUAGACCAAAGUGAAUAUGCCAAUAUUUAGGAAUUUCUUUCAGCAUCAUGGGAUUUAGAUCCCUAUAAUCUUUUUUUAUUUUAGUGUAGUGACGUCCGGAAGACCAGAAUUAUCACGUACCUCGUACUAGUCGUUUUAUUUAUUUUGUCUUUUAAAGCGCCACAUUAUUUCCCAUACAGUCAUAAUAUAUCUAUUUUUUGUUUAUUUAUCGUUGCCGUGUGUGGAGUCUCAUCUUGAAUAUGAACAUUUUUCCGGUAGGUCGAACUGAACUCUGUUCGUCACAUGGUAGCAGACAUGUUAUGCGUUCAUAAAAAUCUAGACCUGAGGUUGGCACUAUGUUCAAAGAGUACCUUAUCUGCUCUCUCGGUAAGUCAAUCUGCUCCUCCGUGCAUGUUUUAGCUGGACUUUUAAGUUACGCCUUCUUUUUUCCCCUUUUUAUUUUAUUUGGUCAUUUGCUUGUUGGAAUCAUCAUCAUUACAGAAUGAUGAAGAAAAAUUCAAGACCAGGGGAAAUAAGGAAAUAUUAAACUUAUAGCUUUUGUUUUAUCAUAGAAAGUUUACUUUCAAGGGGUUGAGAAAAAAUUUAUAUAUAUAUAUAUACACACACACAUACACACACACACACACACACACACGACAAGCUUAAAACGGUUAAACAUUAGCAUGCAUGAUCCUUUUCUUCAAAACUGAAACUUUACAAAUGUUAAAAAUAGAAUAACAAAUAAAUUAUUAGAUUUCCAAAAUCAGUUACCGUUAUGCAGGCUUAAAACAAAAGUUAAAUAUAAGCUCUUUUUUUUUUUUUUGGGGGGGGGGGGGGGGGGGGGGCGUGUGUGCCUAUGAGUAGUCCCAGCAAAUGAAUUCUAUGAUCAAACUGAAAUUUUUGAAUUUUCAGGAUGAUGAAAUGAACAGCAUUAGAAUUCUGAUUAAUUCAGCCAUUCCGGAUCCGGAAGUCAAGGGUGGGUUAAGAUGGCCCAUGGGGAAGUCAUAUUCAGGGGAUUACACAAUUGUUGGGGUUUGGCACAAUGAAUUUAAAUCAUAUAAAAGCCCAUCACUAAAGCUUAAGGUAAGAAAUGUUGAUCGAUUUAUUUUCAAGACUGGAACUGGGGAAGCUACGAUUGAGAUUAAUCUAAAGUUGAGAAGACUAGUUUCAGAGAUUCAGGUACUUGCUGCUUUUUGCUUUAACUUUUAUCACAAAACCUACUAUCUUUGUGCAUGAUUACAUGGAUCUUGAAAUUCUUGCUGUUAUGUCAUAAUGUUAAUGCAUAUUUUGUCUUCACGCAUUUCUUACUGAACUUGUGUCUUGAGCUGUAAUUGUAAUUUCCAAUUUUUACUAUUAGAUGGGUAUUUUAUUGGGGAUUUCUUUACUUAAAAAAAAAAUAUGUUUGACAGAGAAUAUUUUAACGAUGAGAUUGCAAUAUUGUAAUAGAUAAUCUUCAGGAACUCUUUUUACCUUUUAGUAGUUAUGCAGUUGCUCCUCUGUGUUAGCUUAUUUAUUCUAUCAUAUGUAACGAAUGACUUUUUACCAAAUUUGAUUUCAAAGCUGAGCUUCCAGCUUAUGACUAAUAUUUGUGUCUUGCACUUUUGUUUUACAAUCACCAUUAGAUGGAAGAGUGCUUAGAGUUAGUUAAUUGAUUCAAUCCCAGGAUUAGUCUUUUGAAACAUAAAAUUUAUCGGCUAAGCUAUAUAAAUCUGUUUCAUGUUUCUUAUCGCACACUAUUUCGUAUGGCUUUGUCUCCAUGCUCAUACAAAAUUAGUGUUGUAUUAGAUGUCUUCUGUCUUUCAUUCACAUGUACUUAUUACUUUUUCUUUCAAUCGUCAGGAUGGGGAGAUUGAUACUGAUUCCAUCUACAAUGGGUUUAACGACAACUUGAGGUUAAUAUGGGACCAUUUCUUGUCAUGGGAGUCAUAACUUUUGACAAAAACAACAGAUUGCAUGCUCUCCCCGCUCGGUUCAUAUUUGCGUUUGUGUGCAUCCUGCAGUUGAAGAUGUAGAAUGAUGUAAAUGCAAGAAUAAGAGCAUGUUCGUAUCCAAUGGUAAAAUGUUUUUGCUAAAAUGUAUGGACUUGUAACAGCUUGUUGCGUGAGUUUCUCAAUCUCCUGAACCUCAAAUUUUGUCCUAUUUUCACCCCGGCUUUUUCCCCCCGUCCUCUGUAAUAGUUAUAUUUGGUAUAAGUUUGGCAGUUCCUGUGUAAAGUGUUUCAUAUUCAUGUGUGGAAUAAAUAUCAACAUCCAGAUACAAGAAAGUUUGAUUUUAUUUGUAAGACCUGUCUCUCAAAGUUAAUCUAGUGACAUGCUUGAAGCACUUGGGAUCCACUAGUUGGAUGUAUUUUUGUUAAGAUUUAUUUAGCAUUUUGUAUGUGUAUCAGUGCCUUUUUUUUUUGUUGUUAAACCGUUGGUUAGAGGGCAAAUAUUUCACAUUAAAGUGGGGUCUGCUUGCCACCAAGGGAGAUGCCUUUCCCAAAGCAAGAAACGAAAACUCAAAAGCCCACUUCAUAACUUGUGUAAGAAGGAGAUGUAAUUGACAUAUGCUGUCCUUUUUCUUGGUGCGUGUAUGUGUGUGUAUACACACUUAAUUCCGAAGAUCAACUGAGCCAACAGCCAAAACUUGAAAGCAAUUUUAAAAUUUUCGGUUAGUAUUGUACUUUAUAUCUUUUGAAUUUCUCUUUAAUUUAUUAUAUUUUCACUUUAGUUUUGUUUCUGGGUACUCUUUAUGGGCCACAAUUAUGGUACCACUGUGGUACCAUACCACAGCUGGAUCCAGCCAUUGGAUCCGGCCUACAGUGGUCCCCAUAGCUGGAUCCAAUGGCUGGAUCCAGCUGUGGUAUGGUACCACAGUGGUACCAUAGCCGGACCCCUCUUUAUGUGCUUUUCUUCGAUGAUUUUGGUGAGCUCAUAUUUUACUGUUUCCACUGGUUAGUUUAGUUAUUGUCUACUAAGAUAAAAUUAUUUGCUUCAAUAACAUAGAGUAUUGAGGUGUUGUAAUUUAAAAUUUUAGAAAAAAAUAUAUUUAUAAAAUAAAAGUUAAUAGUAUGUGGUAAAUAUAAUUUUAAAAUAAUAAUUUUAAUAAAAUUAGUAAAGAUAUAAUAGAUUUUCAUCAUAUAAAAGUAAAAUCAAAUCAACUUAAUUUCUAAACUACAUAAAUUAAUUUUUAUAAAACACUUUAGUGCUGUAACUACCCAACCUCAAUCUAAAGUAUAGCCUUAAUUGUUUGCUAUUUUAUUAUGUGAUUGUAUAUAGAGUUAAUUAAUUGUAUCAAAUGUCAUUAUAAAUGAUGCAUGAGCAAUUUCAUAUUGUUUUUCUUUCCUUCAUUGAUAAUUGGCUUGUCGGAUAUCUUUGAACUUUUUUUUUUCGCCUCAAAGUUCUUUUAGUCUGCAGAAUGUUGGUUUUAGUUUCGAUCUUGGUUACUGCAAUAUUUCAUUCAUUCUUUCUAAGCAUAGUGGGUUCAUUUCACAAAAUUCUGUAAUAAGUACUUAUUGUAGUUUAAGGUAGCGCGAAGUAAUAUUAUCGUAAUGUCUUACAUUCCACCACAUAAGCAGCAGUUUGUAAUCAAGACUGCAGAGAAUCUUGCAGAUAUAUUGACUAAGGUGGUGACGACAAUUAAGUUUGAGCAUUAUCUAAACUUGAUCAAUAUCUUACAAGUUUGAAAAUAGUCAGAGAAGACAGAGACUGGAGGAUGGUUUGUUGAUAGUCGGCUCAGAUUUACUAAAUUUUCGUUAAGGUAGAGAAUUGUUGAAAAAUCAAGCAUGCUUGCAUGAGCUAGCUAGCAUGCAAAUUUCAAGCCCACCAAUGUUCAGCUAGCGUGAUCCAAUUGCAUGUGCUAGCAUGAUCUCUUCGUCAAAAGUCACACCAAAGCCAUUAAAAUUGAAAAUGGCCAAAGUUUUUUUUUCAUGCAUUUAUAUUGUAAGAUUUGCCUAUAAAUAGAGGAGUAGAAUGCAUUUGUAAAGCAUCCCAAUUUGUGAGAAGUAGAGAGCAAUUGCAAGUGAGCUCUUUGAGAGAAUUUGAGAGAGCUUCCACUUGAGUGUUCUAGUUGUUGUGCAAAUUUUAAUGUACUCGCAAGCGCACGAAUCUAUUGUAGUAUAGAUCAAUGGUGACGAGUGUCGAUCCCACGAGGAGGUGGAUUUUAAUUGUGUAUAGAAUUAAUUUUGUAAAUGGGUGGUUGGAUCUGUGGUGGAAAUGAAUUGGAAUAUGCUAAAACUUAAAUUAAAAUGGCGAGAAUAAAUUCUAAAAUUGGAAUUGCAAUGGCGAGAAUAAAUUGAAGAGAAAUGUAUUGAAAUGACGUACUUGGGUAUCUGGAUCCGUAUCAACAUGCAUCAUGGGCUAAAUAAUCCGUAUUAAUGCCAAUUAAAUCAUGAGGGGGGAAUCCACACCUCAUGAACCACGCUCUAAUCAAUAUGGUGCUAAGGGCUUAUCGUGCCAAAUAAUAAUAACCUUAUACUAGAGAGCCGGUGUAACCAAGGCGGUAUCUAGACAAGAUCAGUAUUAUUUGUCGACGAUAAGUCAAAUCAUCCACAAAAACUAGAGGGGAAAAGAAAAUAAAUUUACCAAAUAAAGCCCAUGACACAUGUUGAGACUUCACCUUCAACCCAAGCUUGAAAGGAAAUUAGCUACUCAUAAUUGAACUAGGGGCAAAAUGAAAAUUUAUUAAAAUACGAAGAAAAUACAAGAUGGAGAAGGAAUUACAGAAAAUGGAUCCCAAAAAUGGAUUCAGAGAUAUCAAAUUAGGGGGGGGAGGCCCCUUUUUUAUAGAUACAUGGAGUAAAUCAUGGCCAUCGGAUUAAAAACAGUUUGGACGCUCAGGAUUGCGCCACGUCAUCAGUCAACAGUCCACGGUUUGACCACGCGGAUGAACAGUAACACGGUUUGACCACGCGGAUGAACAGUAACGCGGUUUGGUUGAAAAUAAUCCUGUGUGAUGCAUGCACCGUACGCGAGAUUUUUCGUCCACUGAUAUGCUGCCACGUCACCAUCAACAGUACAUAAGAAUUUUAGUCCAACAGGAUCGUGACACCUCAUCAGUCAAUGCCACAUCAUCGGUCAAUGCCACGUCAUCGAUCCGUCUAUGUGAACAGUGUCGUGAACAGUAACGUAGACAGUACCGUAUACGUGAAUAGUACCGUACAUGUGAAUAGUGCCAUUUUUCUUUUUAUGCCCCUCCUAAGGUUUUCGACCGUCCUGAGUUCAAAAGUGAUGUCCGUUUUGCCAUCUGAUCUCUCCUUUAUUGUGAAAUAACUAUAAUGCCCCUAAAAUACAUAAAAUACUUAAUUAAAAUAAAACACAUGUAAUUAAAUCACAAGAAGGUUAAAUACAUAAAAGUAAGGGUUUUUAAUAAGACUUGAAAUGUAAAAUGACGGUUUUCUCCUUUAUAAAUAUGCAUUUUCUAACACUCAACACACCCCCCAACCAGCUUAUUGCUAGUCCCUAGCAAAUAAAGCGAAAACAAAAUUCAAAUUCAAAAUGAUUUUUUUUUUUUUUUUGAACUACUCGUGUUUAUUCAAUCAGAUUAAUGAUAGCAAUCAAAUAAAAGUAUAAGCAUUAUCUCCAGUCUAAAGCAACAUCACACCCACAUCAACCAUCCACAUGAAUUAGCCCAGUAGACUUUGUUAUAGCUACUUUCAAGAAUGACAUGUCAAACCCCAAAAUCUCACUUGAAGUAGUGACACUCUCACAAAGAAAUUAAAACCCAAUAAACAUAGUCACUCCAAUGAAUGGUAAUUGAGAGAGAAAAUAAUAAAGAAAUGAUAUCACAUGCUCUCACCAAGAUGAAAUAAAUAUGCCCUCAGCUUAGAAAUAAUGCGAUCUCAAGUCAAAUAAAAUGUUAGUCAACCCACUUUAUUUAUCUUUUUUUUUUAUUAUUAUUAUGCAUCACUACAUCUUUUUAGCCCAUAUAACUAGCUUCUACUUCAAACUAUAGUUCCCUAAAAUCAAGAAGGACUUUUAUUAGGACGUAACGUAGGCUAGGGAUAUGGCUAACAAAGAAAGGAAAUAAGGAAAACAAAGUGUAUGUUUGAAAAAAAUGCAGAAUUUUUUUUUUUUUUUUUUUUUUGGAACUUGCAAGGUGGAUUUCACCUAUUAUUGUUAUUUUUAUUCUUUUGAAACAACAACUUUUGUUUUUGUUUUUGUUUUUUUUGUUUUUUUUUUUUGCUUUUAUUUGGCAUAACUUCACUGAACAACAUAAUUAUUUACAUUUUCUCAAACAUAAAUAGGUGAUGGAACUUAAAAGACAUUGGGUAAUACUCCAAAUCGGAGUGGGUCAAGAUGAUAAGUUGACAAAGAAAAGGUUUUUGUUCUUUUUUUUUUUUUUUUUUUUUUUUUUUUUUUUAAGGCUCAAAAGGGGUAACUAUGGAUAUUUAAUAAAAGGGAUGGCUAGAAAGGCUCAAACGGAUCAAAGAUGGCCUUUCUAUCGUCUUUUAGGGCUCUAAAUAAUUAUCCAUAUCUACUAGUUAGAUGGGCCUCCCAAUGUAGCAACACACAUUUUUUUCUUUUUUCUUUUUUUUUUUAAUUUUACCAUAUUUUUUUUUUUUUAAAAGGGUUAACUUAAAAGAAAUCUAGAGAUCGUGUAUAAAAUAAUAAACUGCUAAGCUGUAUAGAGAAUGGGUAAAAGGGUUACUCUCCAAGAAAAUGAUAGGCUCAACUACUCACUUGGCACUUAUUUAUGACAUGUUCAUUCCUUCAAGCAACUCAUAUUUGUCUCCGACAUCAACAUGUAAAGUAGCAAACAUAGCGUAACAUCACUUAAGACCAAAGAUAAUACAAAUACUAAAAUUUGAAAUUAGUCAUGUCAUCCAAUGUUAAAACAAAUAACACAAUUUUUUUUAAACAACAUUCUACCCCCCAACCUAUUCUAAACAUGAAAGGAAAAUAUGCAUGCAGAAAUGUGAAAAUGAUGUAGAAAAAUUAAUUAGAAAAAGAAUUUUUUUUUUUUUUUUUAAACUAAGAAGAUGCGUUUCUAGAGGCACUACACUCCAUAUUCAGCCAUCUUCGACUCAAAAAUUUGAAACUACAUAUUUAUAAAGGAGAAAGAGGAAGAAAACAGGUUUUUUUUUUUUUUUUUUUUAAAACGAUGAAGAUGCGUUUCUAGAGUAACUACACUCCAUAUUCAGCCAUCUUCAACAUAAAAUGUUAGCAACAGUUAGUUUCUACAACAAAAAAUCAGUAAAAACUUAACCAAGAUUCCACAAUUGUCGACUAUUCCCUUCCCCCAACUAGAACGAAACAUUGUCCUCAAUGUUUUAAAGGAAAGAAGUAGAGUUUAGAAGACAUCACCUGGGUGGUGCAACACAGAAGAAAAUAUUUACAAGCGGAGAGUUAAAUCUAAUUUGUACUUCUUACUGCGGCUACUGUUACCAUCAUUAUUUGGUCGCUCCAACACAAAGGUCCAGGGGUCUGGCUCCGGUUUAUAAGCUUGUAACAUAUCAAGUAGCUCAUUAGCAGUGUGAGCACAAAUAAAGAGUUUUUUCACAUUAGAAGGAAUGAAAUAGUUUUUUAUUGCAUGGUUAAGAAAUGCGAUAAAGUCAUCAUAAAAGUUAUUGACAUUUAACAAACCGAUAGGUUUCUGGUGGAUGUGCAGAUGGGCCCAAGAUGCUAGUGUCAUAAGUGCCUCUAGUGUUGCAAGAUCUCCUGGAAGGAAAAUAAAAGCAUCAGCAUGAUUAAGCAUUUCAGUUAUUCUUUCUUGCAUACCUGAGACGACUAACUCUUCUCCAGUUGAUGAGUCAGACGAACUGCCCAAUGGUUUUAGGACUCUUGGGAUGAUGCCUAACACUUGACUUCCUCUGAUAAAAGCUGCUUCUGAGACCAUUUUUGAUAACCCUCGGUUACCUCCUCCAUACACCAAAUGUAAUUUUCUCGCUGCUAUGCUUCGACCAAGAUCUAUGGCUGCCUCAACGAACUCUUUAUGUUUGCCAUAGGUAAAUCCAGAAAGCACACAAAUGUUCUUGAAUUGUCUAUUGGGAGUAGCGGCCAUUGUGAUACUUCUCAAAAAUAAUUUGUGAGUGCUUGACAAAAAAUAGAUCACAUUUAAGAAUCUUGGUGACAGUGGAUCACAGCUGUGAAUGAGGUAACAUGUCAGUGUGAAAUAACGCGUGAAGCACAUGGCUUGCGAGUCAAAAAGGAAACAGUAAAAAGGAAAAAGCAAACAGUAAUAAAAUUAUUAAAGACAAUAAUGCAAACAAUAAAACAACAGUGAAAUGAAAUAAAAUAACAGUAAAGUAAAAUGAUAUUUACACGUAGUUGCGACUGUGGCUCACAUCUUCCUCUGGUUUUACGUCCAGAAACGGCUUGAACGCCCUCUAUGGGUCGAGGAUGGGCUUCCCAUCCAGUUUUCUUAUAAACUGGCAAACAGGGUCGUUUAUAGUCAGAUUCCCGAGACUAUAUCGUGCAUGCUCUUUCUGGAAUAAUGGCCAUAACCGGAGAAUCGCUCCUUGCACAUAUCCACUGGGAUGCGUUUCAAGAGACAAAAGGAUAUCAUCCAAUGACUCCUUAUUCAAGCCAUCCCUAAUGAAUUGAAUCUUAUCUUCCCUGUUAUCAGACACCAUUCCUAAAGAACAUGGGUUUCUAUCGCAACUCAUUCUGGCACACUUAUGACAAGCAACAGAAAUUCUUCGAGCUCGUCGUUUUCUUGCAUAAUUGCCUUUACCACAACCAGGCAUGUAUGCAAUAAAUUUAUGAGGUAACUCACCUGCCAAUCGUACUUUAGCCUCGAUUAACCAACGGAUGUCUGCAGGUAUGUUAUUCCUCAUGAGCAAUCGCAUGCGUUCAGACCGGGCUUUAUAGAUUGUAAGGAGGGCAUUCUGAGGAAGUGAAGGGAAUCGCUUGUGAAGCUUUGCUAAAAUCUCGUUUCUAUCCAUACCUUCGCCUCAGAAUAUCAGUUAUUAUGGGAAACUGAAGUUAACCGACUUGAUUGUCACGGAGUACCGUUAUCCGCCACUUCACCGGGGUAACAAACUAAAGCACACAAACAGAAAAACAAAUUAAAACACACAAAGAAAAUUAAAAUCGUCCUCUUAUUGAAUUUACCUCAAGCUCCAACUGGAUGUCGUAAACACUUCUCUCAAUGUCUCUGAGUUGGCGUUCUAAACCCUCAACAUAGGCUACUAACUCUGGUGGUUGUAGAGCCCAAAUGCGUUGUGUUUUACAAAAUAGAAUCUGCCUUUUGAGAUGAGUUUUGACACGUUGAAGUGGUUUAAGAAUGUUCAGGAGGAACGGUCUAAGUAUGAGACUCAUGAUUAAAAAUGAUAAGAGAAAACUUAAUUGUUAAACAAACACACUUAUGCAAAAAUAAUUUCAAUUAGCAAAAGAAUAAUAAAAAGAAAGAAAGAAAAAUCAAAUCAAUAAAAAGAGAAAAAAAAAAUUAAUUCAAAUCUGGUGGGUCACUCAAAUUUAUUUCGGUGUCUUCUUCAUGUGGUUGGUACUCUAGAUAUGGCUUUAAUCUUUGACCAUUAACUUUAAACGUGACACCGUUCUUUGGGUCUUUAAUUUCAAUUGCCCCAUGUGGAAAAACAGUAUGAACAAUAAAGGGACCAGACCAUCGAGAGCGUAACUUACCUGGGAAUAGGUGCAAGCGAGAAUUGAAUAAAAGCACUUUCUGACCUGGAGUGAACGAUUUUCUCAUAAUUUGCUUAUCAUGGAAGACUUUCAUUCGUUGCUUGUAAAUCUUGGCAUUUUCGUAUGCAUCAUUGCGAAUUUCUUCAAGUUCUGCCAGCUGUAAUCUUCUUUCUGAGCUGGCUUGCUGCAUGUCAAAGUUGAAUUUCUUGAUGGCCCAAUAUGCACGAUGCUCGAGUUCCACAGGUAGGUGGCAAGCUUUUCCAUACACUAGCCUGUAGGGUGACAUCCCAAUCGGGGUCUUGAAAGCCGUUCUAUAUGCCCAUAAUGCAUCAUCAAGUCGUAAUGACCAAUCUUUUCUGUCUGGCCUCACCGUUUUUUCUAAUAUGUGCUUGAUUUCUCGAUUGGAGAUCUCAACUUGGCCACUGGUUUGCGGAUGAUACGGGGUCGCCACUUUGUGUGUGAUUGAAUACUUUGUCAAAAGAGCUUUGAAUGUUUUGUUACAAAAGUGGGCACCACCAUCACUGAUUAUCGCUCGAGGGAAUCCAAAGCGUGAAACAAUGUUGCUUUUCAAAAAUCCUAUCACCACUUUGUGAUCAUUGGUUCUGCAUGGAAUUGCUUCCACCCAUUUCGAUACGUAGUCAACACCAACCAAUAUGUAUUGAUGGCCAAAAGAAGGGGGAAAGGGUCCCAUGAAGUCGAUACCCCAUACGUCAAAAAUCUCAACCACUAAAAUUGGAUUUAGUGGCAUCAUGUUCCUUCGUGUAAUGCUCCCCAUUCGUUGACACCUAUCACAUGAAGAACAGAAAGUGUAAGCGUCUCGAAAUAUAGUUGGCCAAUAGAAACCACAUUGUAAAACUUUUGUAGCUGUUUUCUUAGCACUAAAAUGGCCUCCACACGCUUGUUCAUGGCAGAAUGAAAGGAUAUUUUGAAUUUCACUUUCUGGGACACAUCGCCUAACAAUUUGAUCUGCACAAUACUUGAACAAAUACGGGUCAUCCCAAAAGAAAUUCUUUAUUUCCGCAAAGAAUUUAGCCUUGUCUUGCUUGGUCCAAUGCUCUGGAAGUUUACCUGUAACAAGAUAAUUAACUAUAUCAGCAUACCAAGGUAAUACUUCCACAUUCAUUAAUUGUUCAUCUGGAAAUGACUCAUUCAAUAUUAAUGGAUCUGUAAUUGUGUCAAAAUGGAGACGAGAGAGGUGGUCCGCCACAACAUUUUCUGUGCCUUUCUUAUCCUUGAAUUCCAAGUCGAAUUCCUGCAAAAGUAACACCCAACGAAUUAGUCUAGCUUUUGCAUCUUUCUUUGUGAGAAGAUAUUUAAGAGCAGCAUGAUCUGUGAAUAUAAUUAUUUUACAACCAAUGAGAUAAGAUCGAAAUUUCUCUAAUGCAAACACUACUGCUAGCAUUUCUUUUUCAGUAGUUGAAUAAUUCAACUGUGCAUCAUUCAAUGUCAUACUAGCAUAGUAAAUAACGUGGGGAAUUCGAUCAACUCUUUGUCCUAAUACUGCUCCUACUGUAUAAUCAGAUGCAUCACACAUGAGCUCAAAUGGUAAGUUCCAGUUUGGGGCCUGAAUGAUGGGUGAUGAUGUCAACAACUGCUUUAAUUUUUCAAACGCCAUGAGACAUGAAUCAUUAAAGAUAAAAGGUACAUCCUUAGCAAGUAAAUUGCAUAAGGGUCUAGAAACUUUGCUAAAAUCUUUAAUGAAACGUCUAUAAAAACCAGCAUGUCCAAGGAAAGAUCUUACUUCUCUGACUGUUUUAGGUGGAGGAAGAUUAGAAAUGAGAUCCACCUUGGCUUUGUCAACCUCAAUACCUUUGCUCGAAAUGAUGUGACCGAGAACAAUACCUUGUUUUACCAUAAAAUGGCACUUCUCCCAAUUCAAGACUAAGUUCUUCUCGGUACAUCUCUGCAGAACUAGCGUUAGAUGAUGUAAACAUUGAUCAAACGAGUCACCAAAGAUAGAAAAAUCAUCCAUAAAGACUUCAAGGAAUCGUUCAACCAUAUCAGAAAAAAUGCUCAACAUGCAUCGUUGGAAUGUAGCAGGUGCAUUACAUAAUCCAAAUGGCAUUCUCCUAUAUGCAAAAGUGCCAAAAGGGCAAGUGAAAGUAGUUUUCUCCUGAUCUUUUGGUGCUAUGGGAAUCUGAUUAUAUCCUGAGUAGCCAUCUAGAAAGCAAUAAAAUUCAUGGCCUGCUAAUCUAUCAAGCAUUUGAUCAAUAAAUGGUAAAGGAAAAUGGUCUUUACGUGUGACAGAAUUCAACUUUCUAUAAUCAAUGCAUACACGCCAUCCUGUAGUUACUCUAGUUGGUAUCAAUUCAUUAUCAGCAUUGGUAACUACUGUGACUCCUGACUUUUUGGGGACGACUUGUACAGGACUGACCCAUGAACUAUCAGAAAUUGGGUAAAUGAUACCUGCAUCUAAUAGCUUAAGGACUUCAGUUCUAACAACUUCUUUCAUGUUAGGAUUUAACCGACGUUGCAUCUCCCUAGUAGUUUUAGCAUUUUCAUCAAGGUGAAUGUAAUGCAUGCAGUCUACUGGAUUUAUACCUUUUAUGUCUGCUAUGGUCCAUCCUAAUGCCCCUUUGUGCUCUUUUAACACAUCCAACAACUUACCUUUUUGUUCGUCAUUUAGGGAUGAUGAGAUGAUUACCGGUAGAGUGCUUUCUUCUCCCAAAAACGCAUAUUCCAAUGUGUUGGGCAAUUGUUUGAGCUCGAGUUUUGGUGGUGAUUCUGAUGAUGGGAUGAGUUUCUUUUCUGACGGUGCUAGUUGUUCUACUCUUGACUUCCAUUUAUUAGUGUCCAUGGAUGGUGCUGAGUCAAGUAGGGCGUUGACCUCUUCGACCGAUCUAUCAAUAUCAAAAUCCAAACCAAAGUGAGUUAAGCAUGUUUGUAAAGGAUCAUCACUAAGGUUUGAAAGAAAAGUAUUAUCAACUAUUGUUUCUAUUAAAUCCACAUCAACAAUUCCAUCAUCUGCACUGUGAGGUUGUUUGGCAAUGUUAAAGAUGUUUAGCUCCAUAGUCAUGUUGCCGAAGGACAAUUGCAUAUUUCCGGUCCUACAUUGAAUAUGAGCAUCUGCAGUUGCCAAGAAAGGUCGGCCUAGAAUAAUGGGGAUGUGCUUCCUUGAGUCCUGUAUUGGUUGAGUGUCAAUUACAAUGAAAUCAACAGGAAAAUAAAACUUGUCUACCUGGAUAAGCACGUCCUCCACAAUACCACGAGGUAUUUUUGUGGACCGAUCUGCAAGUUGUAACACCACUGGAGUUGGGUGUAAUUCUCCCAGUCCAAGUUUCACGAAUACAGAGUAAGGUAACAAAUUUACACUAGCUCCUAAAUCCAACAAAGCAUUCUCAAUUGUGUGGUUCCCUAUACUACAUGAGAUAGUGGGGGAGCCUGGGUCUUUGCAUUUUAAAGGAAUUUUAUGUUGGAGUAUAGAACUAACGUUUUCUGUUAAAAAUGCCUUCUUUUGAACAUGCAUAUUUCUCUUUUUAGUACAAAGGUCUUUAAGAAACUUGGCAUAAGAUGGAAUUUGUUUUAUAGCAUCAAGCAAAGGGAUAUUGACACUUACCUGUUUGAAGAUUUCGAGAAUCUCACCUGUGGAUUUUCCCUUCUUGCCUUUAGCUAACCUCUGAGGAAAUGGAGCUUUCGGAAUAUAUUCUCGUGGGUUGGUUUCUUCUCUCUCCUCCGGUGGUGAGUCCUCAGCAUUUACAGGUACAAUUUGAUUUUCUUUUGUCACCUGCAUCUCCACUUUAUUGUCGACUUCUUUUCUUUUUCUCAAGGUCAUUACUGCUUUGACCUCUCCAUGCUGCUGUGGUGAACUGGUACUUGCUUCAUGCACUCCUUUAGGAUUAGGCACUGGUUGACUCGGAAACUUGCCUUUCUCAACAGUCAUUGCCAAGGUCUGAACUGAAGAAGCAAGCUGUCCCACCAUCUUCUCGAGGCUUGAAACUGAUUGGGCUUGUGAAUUGAAGCCCGCUCUCAACUCAUUUCGUAGUCCAUCAAUGGUGCGAUUCUGUUGCUCAAUCGUGGAGUGAGUAACAUUCUUGAAAUUCUGGAAUGCAUCCUCCCAUGGUCUGGGUUGAGAGUAGUUCUGGUUUUGAUUGUAUGGUCUAAAUGGUGGCUGAGAGGCUUGAGGAUUUUGAGGAAUUGGUUGCAUUGGUGGAGCUGGAGCUGCUGGUCCAUUCUGUUGAAAUCCUUGAGACCAUGAAAAAUUGGGGUGGUCUCUCCAUCCAGGAUUAUAUGUGUUGGAGUAUGGGUUGUAAUUAGAUGGCUUUCUCAUUACACCUAUGGCAUUGGCUUGAUCGGAGUAUGAGUCAUGGUCAUGUGGUUCUGUUGAUUUAGCAGUCGAUAACGAUGCUAUUUGUCGAGCAAGACCUUCAACCAUCUCCUUGACUUCUUUGAUUCCCGAAGUUGACUCGCCAAUGUGAACCUCAUUCACUCCUUUAAUCCUUCUAGUAUUCCUGAGUGAUCGACUCCGUUGUUGGGAAUUAUCCGCUUGUCGCUGGAAGAAUUCCCAAAUCUCUGUUGCGCUUUUUGACAUUAGCUCUCCUCCACUUGUUGCCAUUAGCCAUUCUUGCACAUUCGGCAAUAAUCCCUCCAAAAAGUAUUGGCAUUGGUGCCAUUUUUCGUACCCAUGAUGUGGACACUUCAAGAGUAGUCCAUUGAAUCGCUCCCAAGUUUCGAAAAACUGCUCGUCCUCUCUUUGUGUAAACUCUGAAAUUUCCCUGCGAAUAGAAUUGGUUUUAUGCACUGGGAAAUAUUUAUUUAGAAAUUUUGUUACCAUUUGUUCCCAUGAUGAAAUGCUAUUGGCAGGCAAUGUAUUAAGCCAUGAACGAGCUCUAUCCUUUAAAGAAAAUGGGAAUAGUCUAAGUUUUACAUCAUCAUCUGAAAAAUUUUCAUAUUUAAAAGUUUGACAAAUAGCAUGAAAAUCAUUCAAAUGAUUAUAUGGGUCCUCAUUUUCUAGGCCAUAAAAUGUGGGGAGACAAUUUAGCACACUAGGUUUUAAUUCAAAACUCCUAGCAGCUACAUUUGGGUAUCUUAUGCAUGAUGUGCUCAAAUUAGCUAAGGGACUAAAAUAGUCCUUAAAUGGCCUCUCCUGUGGUGCUUGUAAAUCCAUUUUAUUUUUAACGUGUUUGUGUGUGCGAAGUGUUUUUUCUAAUUCAAGGUCUAUAGGUUCAAUAUUAGGUAAUAAUGACCUACGACCAUGCAUGCAAAAUAAAUAAAAUAAAAAUAAAGAUGCAAACAAAACAAAAAAUAAAGAUGGGAACAAAACAAAUAAAAAAUAAAGAUGAGAACAAAACAAAUAAAAAUAAAGAAGAGGGAGAAAUUACGAUACUAACCUCAUUGCGCUAUUACAACCUUACUAUAAAAAUACACAAAAAUAAAUACGUGAAAUAAAUUAACUAAAAAUUAAAUUAAUAAGAUAAACAAAAAUUACAAAGAAAAAAUAAAUUGAAAAUUAAAUUACAGAAUUUUAAAGAAGAGAAAAAGAAAAGAAAUACUAACCUUUAAAUGUAGAUUUACUCUUUUUUUUUAAAGAACAAAAAAAAAAAAAAAAUACAAGAAAACAAUUUAAAAUAAAUUAUUCACAAAAAUUAAUUCUAUGAAUUAAAACUACUUACCUCCCCGGCAACGGCGCCAAAAACUUGUUGUGCAAAUUUUAAUGUACUCGCAAGCGCACGAAUCUAUUGUAGUAUAGAUCAAUGGUGACGAGUGUCGAUCCCACGAGGAGGUGGAUUUUAAUUGUGUAUAGAAUUAAUUUUGUAAAUGGGUGGUUGGAUCUGUGGUGGAAAUGAAUUGGAAUAUGCUAAAACUUAAAUUAAAAUGGCGAGAAUAAAUUCUAAAAUUGGAAUUGCAAUGGCGAGAAUAAAUUGAAGAGAAAUGUAUUGAAAUGACGUACUUGGGUAUCUGGAUCCGUAUCAACAUGCAUCAUGGGCUAAAUAAUCCGUAUUAAUGCCAAUUAAAUCAUGAGGGGGGAAUCCACACCUCAUGAACCACGCUCUAAUCAAUAUGGUGCUAAGGGCUUAUCGUGCCAAAUAAUAAUAACCUUAUACUAGAGAGCCGGUGUAACCAAGGCGGUAUCUAGACAAGAUCAGUAUUAUUUGUCGACGAUAAGUCAAAUCAUCCACAAAAACUAGAGGGGAAAAGAAAAUAAAUUUACCAAAUAAAGCCCAUGACACAUGUUGAGACUUCACCUUCAACCCAAGCUUGAAAGGAAAUUAGCUACUCAUAAUUGAACUAGGGGCAAAAUGAAAAUUUAUUAAAAUACGAAGAAAAUACAAGAUGGAGAAGGAAUUACAGAAAAUGGAUCCCAAAAAUGGAUUCAGAGAUAUCAAAUUAGGGGGGGGAGGCCCCUUUUUUAUAGAUACAUGGAGUAAAUCAUGGCCAUCGGAUUAAAAACAGUUUGGACGCUCAGGAUUGCGCCACGUCAUCAGUCAACAGUCCACGGUUUGACCACGCGGAUGAACAGUAACACGGUUUGACCACGCGGAUGAACAGUAACGCGGUUUGGUUGAAAAUAAUCCUGUGUGAUGCAUGCACCGUACGCGAGAUUUUUCGUCCACUGAUAUGCUGCCACGUCACCAUCAACAGUACAUAAGAAUUUUAGUCCAACAGGAUCGUGACACCUCAUCAGUCAAUGCCACAUCAUCGGUCAAUGCCACGUCAUCGAUCCGUCUAUGUGAACAGUGUCGUGAACAGUAACGUAGACAGUACCGUAUACGUGAAUAGUACCGUACAUGUGAAUAGUGCCAUUUUUCUUUUUAUGCCCCUCCUAAGGUUUUCGACCGUCCUGAGUUCAAAAGUGAUGUCCGUUUUGCCAUCUGAUCUCUCCUUUAUUGUGAAAUAACUAUAAUGCCCCUAAAAUACAUAAAAUACUUAAUUAAAAUAAAACACAUGUAAUUAAAUCACAAGAAGGUUAAAUACAUAAAAGUAAGGGUUGUUAAUAAGACUUGAAAUGUAAAAUGACGGUUUUCUCCUUUAUAAAUAUGCAUUUUCUAACACUCAACACUAGUGAGGUUCCAUUUAGGUGUAUUGGGGUUGUGGGUUUUGUGAGUUUUUUCCACUUUUGUAAAUUCUCAUUAUUAGUAAAAUUAUCUUCCAAUCUUUGCCCGUGGACGUAGGCAUUAUGCCGAACCACGUAAAUUAUUGUGUUUAUAUUUUCUUUGUAUUUGUUUGGCACAUUUAUAUUUCUCCAAAAGUUACAUUCAUCGUAAUAUUGGUAAUUGCUCAACCUCGCACUUCCGCAACAAUUGGUAUCAGAGCAGAAGGUUCGUGCUUGGGGCAUACAACAUUGUUCACGUAUACGGAACUGUUCACAAAUACGGUAUUGUUCACGUAUACGGUAUUGUUCAUUGAUAUGGUGGAGAUGGUCAUUUAUACUUGGGAGACAGUCUAUUGAAAGUAGUGUGUAUUUUUUCAUGUCUAGGAAAGUCCUGUCAACAAGGCGAUAAAAGCUUAAGGAGUCUGGUUUUAAGUGGGACCGUUGUGACCCCUCCAUUCUCCUAGGAACUUUCCUGGUGCAUUUAUUCAUGCGAAAUAAAUAUCAUAGAGGCUAUUUUUCAAGUGUAAAUAGUUGUUGAAGAAACUGAUCAUUUGAGAUAAAAAUGAUGGCAGAGGCAUCGUCGUCGUCGUCGUCUUCAUCAGCAAGGACUACUGUGACUAAUGCAAAGUUUGAAGUGGAGAAAUUCAAUGAUACCAAUAAUUUUGGUAUGUGGCAAUGUGAGGUGUUGGAUGUCUUAUGUCAGUAAGAGUUGGACGUUACUCUUAAAGAAAAGCCUGACAUAAUGGAUGACAAGGAGUGGAUAAAGAUCAAUAAACAGGUAUGUGGUACUAUUCGCCUAUGUUUGGCUAAAGAUCAUAAAUACUUUGUUAUAAAGGAGACAUCGGCAAAGAAAUUGUAGGAGACAUUGGAAGAAAAAUAUAUGAAGAAAAGUAUAUAAAGAAAAGCCUUAAAAAUAAGCUUUAUAUGAAGAAGAAACUUUAUCUAUUCACAUAUACACCUGGCAUGUCGAUGAAUGACCAUGUAAAUUCAUUCAACAAAAUAUUGGCAGAUUCACUAAAUUUGGAUGAGAAAUUUGAAGAUGAAGAUAAGACACUGUUGUUUUUUAAUUCCCUUCCUGAUGAAUAUGAUCAUCUCACUACCAAUUUGCUUCAUGGGAAGGGCAGUGUCACAUUCGAUGUUGUAUGCAGUGCAUUGUAUAACUCUAAGAUCAGAAAGAAAGAUAGAAAAGAUCACAGAGAUACAGUUGUAGAAGCAUUAACAACUAAAAGUCGUUCACAAGGCUGUAAACUUGGAAAAAGAAGCAAGUCUAAAGGGAGACCUGCCAAAGAUGAGUGUGUUUUUUGUCGCGAGAAAGGACAUUGGAAAAAGAAUUAUCCUAAGUUACAAAAGGAUAAGGCUUCUUCUUAUGCAUGUGUAGCAGAGUAUGAUGAGGAGUCAGACUUUAGUCUGGUUGGCAUGACGUUGACAUGUUACUUAGAUGAGUGGUUUUUGUAUUCGAGUUGUGCUUAUCAUAUGUGUCCUAACAAGGGUUGGUUUUCUAACUUCAAGGAGCUGGACGGUGGAAUUGUUUUUAUGGGCAAUGACAAUGCCUGUAAAACCUUGGAAAUAGGUACAAUUCAAUUAAAAAAUCGUGACGGUUCAAUCAAAGUCUUGACGGAUGUUCACUACAUACCAAGUUUAAAGAAAAAUCUCAUCUCAUUAGGAGUCCUAGAAUCUAAAGGGCUCACAAUCACUCUGAGAGAUAGAUUAUUAAAGGUAGUAGCUGGCACACUAACGGUGAUGAAAGACACAAGAAGAAAUAACUUGUACUAUUUUCAAUGGAAUACAAUUAUUAGAUCAGCAUCAACAGUUUUUGGAAGAGAUGCAGAUUCAGAAGCAACCAAGUUGUGGCAUAUGCGUUUGGGACAUGCUGGUGAAAAAUCUUUACAGACUCUAGUGAAGCAAGGCUUAUUGAAAGGUGCAAAUUCUUACAAAUUAGAAUUUUGUGAACAUUGUGUUUUAGGCAAGCAGACAAUGGUAAUGUUUAGUUCAAUAAUUCACGAUACAAACUUCCUCGGGGGAGCAUUAAAACCUUCGAGCAGAUGUGCCAGGAAUUUGCAGAGCAGUUUCGUGGGGCAAUGGCACCAGAAGAUGCCAUGAUGGAAUUGAAAAACAUGAAGCAGGGGGAAUAAUAAACACUUCGGGAAUUCAUCAAGAGGUUUUACCAUGUUGUCCUUGAUUUGGGAGCCUUCAACCAUCCUCAGGCAUUAAGGGGACUGAAAGAAUGGGUGAAGAUAGGAAGACUGUGGUACAACUUGAGAAGCCCAGUUAUUCAGACGUACGCCGCCGCAUACAAGCAGGCUAAGAGGGACAUUGAGAUUGAAGUGGAAAAGGCAGCACGGAUCAAGACAGACCAGUUAGAUGGGUUGGGGAAGAAAGAGAAGAAAGCAUUGCCAGGGAACGGGCCGAUCAGGAGGAGAGACCUUCAGGCCUCAAGUAGUGGAGCAGGAGAUCGGGUAACUACUGGCCAUCCUCAUCAGAGGCCACCACAGUAUCGGCGCAGCAGGGCGCAACCUCCUCGUUCCCCAGCUAGGGAGCCUUGGAGAAGCCAUGACUCGGCAUAUGGUGGUCUUCAUCAACACUCCCACGGUAGUAGGGGGCAGACCAGAAGUGCUGCCACCGCCUCCAACUCAGAACGGAGCAAAUAGAGAAAAAGCAGUGCACCUGAUCGACCAGAACCAGGACUAUGGGCAGUACACUUCCUUAAAGAUGUUCCUGGACGAGGUGUACGAGGCCAUAAAGGAUCGAGGGUUGCUAUACCUCCCUGCCUCAAUAACAAAACUACCCAGCAGGAGGGAUAAGGGACGCUAUUGUAAGUUCUAUGGCGCGCAUGGCCGUACUACAACAGAAUGUAGAGAUCUAAAGACCCAGGUCGAAGAUUUGGUGAGAAAUCGAUACCUGGACGAGUUUAUAGAGGGGACUUUCCCGAUGGUGGCCUCGACAUGCGAGGGGGAGCAGAGUGGCAGAAAUUUGAGGCACGAGUAGCCUACAGUAAGGGUGAUUGCUGGGGGCCCGACAUUGGCUGGAGAUUCCAACAGAUCUAGGAAGAACUAUGCUAGAUACGCCAUGACUAGUAAAGAGGUAUUCUUCAACACCCCGGCAGCCAAACGAGCAAGAGUCAGGCAAGUGCCAAUCAUGUGGACAGACGAGGAUGAAAAAGGGAUUUUAUACCCACACGAGGAUGCCUUAGUCAUCAAGGCCACUGUUGCUAGCAGGAAGUUUGACCGGAUACUAGUCGAUAUAGGAAGCUCGGUUGAUGUGUUGUUCAAGUCCACUCUAGAGGAGAUGAGAAUAGCAGACCUGAGGUUGGAGCACACCAACACCUCCUUGAAGGGAUUUGGAGGAGGAAAGCUGGUCCCCCUGGGUGUGGUCGAGCUGCCUAUCACAAUCGGAAGCUCCCCGACAGAAAGGACUAUGAUACUAGAUUUUGUGGUGGUUGAUGAAGAGGGUCCUUACCAGAUAAUCCUAGGUCGGCUGUUUCUGAGGAUGAGUAAAGCAGUACUGUCCAACCAUUAUCUUGCUCUCAAGUACCGGGUGAAUGGGGUAGUUGGAGUGGUACGAGGAGACCAGAGAAUCGCACGAAGCUGUUACUCCUCGGCAGCAAAGGAAUCGAUACAGAUAACAUCCCUUGAUACCCGAGUGAAAGCCAGGAAUGGCAACUUAUUGGACUCGGAGUUUACAAGCUGGUUCGCAAGGACGGCCACGAGGUGAAAUGCCCAUGGAACGCAGCACACCUCCGAAAAUACUUCCAGUAAGACUUGUUCACAUUUGAAAGCUAUUUCUGCUCGUGUUCAUUAUCGUUUAUCUUUUAUGUUUUAUAUCCAAACAAUUUCAUGUAAGUCGAAUCCUGCCAUUAAUGGAACGUCGAGGAAUUUCAUUCGCUUGAAACUGUGAAAAUUUCCUAAGGCAUGCAAAGGCUCGUCAAGUCUCAAAGCCUGUUUAUGGCGAGACCAGAAGCCAAGCGUGCCAGGAUCUGCUCGGCCACGAGAAGGCGAGCAGAAUCCCAAGCUUUGAAGAAAUUACCUAAGGCAUGCAAAGGCUCGACAAAGUCUCAAAGCCUGUUUAUGGCGAGACCAGAAGCCAAGCGUGCCAGGAUGUGCUCGGCCACGAGAAGGCGAGCAGAAUCCCAAGCGUUGAAGAAAUUACCUAAGGCAUGCAAAGGCUCGUCAAGUCUCAAAGCCUGUUUAUGGCGAGACCAGAAGCCAAGCGUGCCAGGAUCUGUUCGGCCACGAGAAGGCGAGCAGAAUCCCAAGCGUUGAAGAAAUUACCUAAGGCAUGCAAAGGCUCGUCAAGUCUCAAAGCCUGUUUAUGGCGAGACCAGAAGCCAAGCGUGCCAGGAUCUGUUCGGCCACGAGAAGGCGAGCAGAAUCCCAAGCUUUGAAGAAAUUGCCUAAGGCAUGCAAAGGCUCGACAAAGUCUCAAAGCCUGUUUAUGGUGAGACCAGAAGCCAAGCGUGCCAGGAUCUGCUCGGCCACGAGAAGGCGAGCAGAAUCCCAAGCUUUGAAGAAAUUAUCUAAGGCAUGCAAAGGCUCGACAAAGUCUCAAAGCCUGUUUAUGGCGAGACCAGAAGCCAAGCGUGCCAGGAUCUGCUCGGCCACGAGAAGGCGAGCCGAAUCCCAAGCUUUGAAGAAAUUGCCUAAGGCAUGCAAAGGCUCGACAAAGUCUCAAAGCCUGUUUAUGGCGAGACCAGAAGCCAAGCGUGCUAGGAUGUGCUCGGCCACGAGAAGGCGAGCAGAAUCCCAAGCUUUGAAGAAAUUACCUUAGGCAUGCAAGGGCUCGACCAAGUCUCAAAGCCUGUUUAUGGCGAGAUCAGAAGCCAAGCGUGUCAGGAUCUGCUCGACCACGAGAAGGAGAACAGAAUCCCAAUCAUUGCAGAGAUUACCUAAGGCAUGCAAAGGCUCAUCAAGUCUCAAAGCCUGUUUUAUGGCGAGACAGAAGCCAAGCGUGCCAGGAUCUGCUCAACCACGAAAAGGUGAGCAGAAUCCCAAUCCUUGAAGAAUUGAAGGCAUGCAAAGGCUCGUCAAGUCUCAAAACCUGUUUAUGGCGAGACCAGAAGCCAAGCGUGCCAGGAUCUACUCGACCACGAGAAGGCGAGCAGACUCCAAAGCAUUCGAAAAAAUUCCUAAGGCAUGCAAAGACUCACCAAGUCUCAAAGCCUGUUUUAUGGCGAGACAGAAGCCAAGCGUGCCAGGAUGUGCUCGACCACGAGAAGGCGAGCAGACUCCGAAGCAUUCGAAAAAAAUUCCUAAGGCAUGCAAAGGCUCACCAAGUCUUAAAGCCUAUUUUAUGGCGAGACAGAAGCCAAGCGUGCCAGGAUCUGCUCAACCACGAGAAGGCGAGCAGACUCCGAAGCAUUCGAAAAAAUUCCUAAGGCAUGCAAAGGCUCACCAAGUCUCAAAGCCUGUUUUAUGGCGAGACAGAAGCCAAGCGUACCAGGAUCUGCUCGACAACUAGAAGGCGAGCAGACUCCGAAGCAUUUGAAAAAAUUCCUAAGGCAUGCAAAGGCUCACCAAGUCUCAAAGCCUGUUUUAUGGCGAGACUAGGAGCCAAGCAUGCUAGGGUCUGCUCGACCACGCGAAGGCGAGCAGAAUCCCAAGCAUUGAAGAAUUUUCAAAGGCAUGUGGCAAAACCAUGUGCCAAGCCAGAACCUGCUCGACCAGACAAAGACGAGCCGAUUCUCAAACGAAAAAUAACUCAUGAUUACGACACAAGAAAGUAAUCAAAAAUAUUUUUAUUAAUUUGUUAAUAAUUAACAGAGGAGAUAAUCUUCACAAACAUUGUUCAUUACAAUACAAGAAACAUAUUUAAGAAGAUGGUGGGUCCGCAAGCCGAGCAUCCUCAGUUAGAUGGUCCACCUCAGGUGCUGGGGGAGUAUCUCCAGUUGCGUCUGGGGGGGUACUCGCCUCACCAGCAUCAGCAGGGAUUACACGGGGAGGAGAGUUUUCCUCUUCUAUCACCAUUGGUGCCACCUCUUCGGCAUCCUCCUUUGCAGCCUCCUCGUCCAUAUGUUGGGCGACACCAGCUGCAAGGUCGUCCAUCUUUAGAUCAGGAUGCUGCUUCCCGAGGACGGCCAUGAUGCAACGAUAAGAAUGCCGAAGUCCCUGGUCGUACUGGUUGUCGGCCUCCUUCUCCAAGUUCUCGACCUGACCUCGGUGGGAAUCGCGGAGGGAUUCGAGCUGAGCCUCAUACAUAGCCUUCUGCCUUUGAAGAUCCUCCUUGACCUUGGCCAGCUCUUCCUCGAGAGUAAUAGCCUUGGCUUGAGCAAGAGAUUCUCGCUCAAUCAACUUCAGAUUCUCGAGGUUUAAGUCCCCUGCUUUCUUCUCAGCAACAUCAGCUCUGGUCGUCGCCGACUGAAUGUCCUCCUUCAUCUUCCUAUCAUAACGGCCAACCUUGGCCUUAUAGUAGGUGGUCAUGCAGCUGAGAUGGAAAGCGCUAUACUGCAUGGCCCCCACCAGCUCGCCUAAGGUGUAGCCAUCAAAGUCCUCGAGGUCCUUCUUGCUCACGAUUUUGGAAAGCUCGUUGAGAUAGGGGGCCAAGUGUUCUGCUCGGCUGUCAGGUAAACGAGAUCUAUGCCCGACAAGAGGCGAAGAGGAAGCAGGAUCAGUGGCUGCUCCACUGGUCUCGUCGAGUUUGGCAGAAAGAAGAGGUAAAGUCUUCAAGGGAGAGACCUGCUGCACGAUGUUGGCCCGCUUUGCAGUAGGGGCAUCCUUGUUCUGGUCCCUCUUCGUGGUUUGGGGUCGAGAACGUUUCCUGUUUAGAGCCCCAAUCACGGCGUCCUCCAUCUUAUGACCAGGGAGUAUCAAGCGAGACUCGAGCAAGUUGUAUGUAGUUAUCAGCUCCCGGCUCGAGCAGGAAUUGGCUAGCACAGCCUCGACCCGUUUGAGCUGGCCAGGUUUGAGCGAGAAAUGAACACCCCAAGAAACUACAACACAAACAGACACUUGGUUAGAGACAAACCAACAAAGCGAGAACAAUUACGGAUACAAGACAUCUAAAGCGAACAGGCAACCUGGGACCGUGAAACGGGGUGGAACGCGAUAAUCCUUCCCGUCUAUUUGUGCAACUUGACCCCAAGGACCCCCAGCAAAAAAGAAUUUCCUCUUCUAAUUCCCACCACCACCAGUAGGGAGGUCGGUUAUGGGUUUCCUGGUCUUGGUACUAGAUUGAAAGUAGUACCAGCCGGCAUCUUUGGGGCUGCUCUUUAGCUGGUACAGGUGCUUCACCUCAUCAACUGUGGACUCGCUUUGGCAACAUCUGUCCCACAAUAUGAACAGACCAGAAAGUACUCUCCAACCAUUUGGGUUCAGCUGACCAGGAGAUAGAUUCAGCCCGUUAAGUAUCCGGGCAAAGUAAGGUUGCACGGGACACCUCAGCCCAUACUUAAAACUAUCCAGAUACAGGGUAACGUAUCCCCUAGGAGGCCGGCUAGGAGUAUCCUUCUUUCCUGGGACCUUAAGAGGGAUUUCACCAGGAAUACUAUACCUAAGCCGGAGGUCAUUGAGCUCAUCAAACGUGGUUAUGCAUGUCAUGUAAUCAAUAGCGUAAUCCCGCGAUAGGGCUCUACCUCCUAUUGUACUCCGCCCUUCUGGUCGCGACGCUCCUGAUGGGGACACCUCGCCAGAAUCAUCUCCUCGGCCCUCACUCAGGGUGUUCUCCGAGCCAGAAGACCCCUCUUCAUCACUAUCUCUGCUCGAGGAGGUCGUUUACGGAGACAUCCUCCUAGCGCUAGUGCCGACACUAGAUCUAAUGGGCUCUAAGGGGAUCCCGGGGUCAAAAGCAGGAUCAGUGAGCAGACUAGGCAGGAAGUCCAACUCAUCGUCGUCAACCUCAAUGACCUUCUCUUUACCUUUCGACAUUCCCUAAACUCUAACCACAACACCACCACCAACUACUACCCGAACAAAAGAGAACAAAAAUUAUCUACAACUAUCCGAGACCAAGGAGAUAGAAGAAAUACCUGAAGUAAUGGUUCAGUCGGUGAAAGACAGAGAUGGAGGCCUUUAUGCCGGAACUUCUUUGCCGGAGAGACAGGGACGGAGACAGAGGGAAUGAUGAAUUUGCUGUUUGAAAGGAUUUAGGUUUCCUAAUGGGGACGGCCUCUUGGGUUGCCAGCAUUUAACGGCACCAAAUCCCAAGGGCCUCGUAACCGUUGGUUUGAAAUUCGAAUAGAGGGGCAGAUUUCUGCCACAUCACCUCGUCCGCAAUUAAAUGCGAUAUGACUCUUGGCAGCCUUUUCCAGUCCCACGCGACCAAGAACCGCUAAGUUUCUACUGCUGGUCCAUUACAUUACCCAACACCAGAAACUGGGGGACCGGUGUUUGAGGGAAAUACUCUGACGAGACCAGACGUGAUGAGCAGAUGUUUGGUGGUAGAAGUCUGCGAGCAGGUGUGUCCUGUAAGAGCCAGGUAGCAGGGGAACAGGGGCAGGAAUAUCCUGCUCAUCCACGAGCACGUCAUCCGCGAGGCCAAUUUCCUGUAAGAAGCAUAAAGCCAUUCCUGCUGUAUUCUUGCUAAGGGUUGAUUCGAGGAGACCCGGUCAACGACAGUUGGCGAGGCAUGCUCUCCAGCCCGAGAAUCUAGGCACGAAGGCCACGCAACCACCCACGACUACGGAAAUGGGGAAUCCACGUUCGAGAGGUGGGAGGAUAACGGACGUAGACUGCGGAAAACUGGGAUUCAGAGGAAGCCUAUAAAAAUGUAGCCAACGAAGGUAAAAUGGUUAGCAAUUUUGAGAUUAGAAGGGAGAUAAAGAAAUUCUAAAGAAGAGAAAACUACCCAAAAGCCAUAAGAUCUGUGGCAAGCGUUCCCCGAACCUUCAUAUCUGACUUGAGCGUCGGAGGGUUUGCGUCGGGAAAACAACCGGCGUACUCUGACUUGUCUGUGUGCGCAGGAACCUCUGGAGAAGAAGCUUUACGAGGAGAGAUCCUGGUCGUGGUGAAGUUGAUCGAGCAGAGACCCUGGUCGUAGAACGAGGAGAACCAGAAUCUCGCAUCAACAAAACGUGUAUUUCAACCUGAGUACUAGCGAUUACCAGUGACUGAUUAACACUUGUUUUAAUUGUAUUCAGCAGUCAUAAAAAUUUACUUUUUCUUGUUAUUUAUUUAUACCACACAUUUUGACUACCACAAACUUAAGUUGCUUGGCUGACGUAUUUACCACAAAUAAAAACUAACAUUCGAGGUUUUUCUUUCGACAUUUCUAUAGAUGUUUUAACAUUUUAGAUUACAAUAUUUUUCAAAACUUGAUUUAGUCACUGAUUGUUGACUACGACGACGACAAAAAAUCUAUUUCGUUGUGAAAAGGAAUCCACAAGAGUACAAGACGGAGCCUUGAUCCAGUAAUAUUACGGAAAAUGGUAUUUUGUUUCCUUACAAAUGAAGAGAGGUUCUGUCUUUGCAGUGGGUAAGGUGAGGGUAUAGAACAUAUUAAUGGCUUUACUUAUCAUCAUCAACUUCCUUCUGUGUCUCUCAAUCUUUGUCUUCUUCUUUGUUUUGCAAAGGAACAUAACCUCAAGAAAUAAUACUAAAUUACCACCAGGCCUCCGGGGCCUUCCUUUCAUCGGUAACGUGCACCAGCUUGAUGUCUCAAAGCCUCACGUGUUAUUUUGGGAACUGUCAAAAAAAUAUGGCCCCCUCAUGUCCUUGCGUCUUGGGUUUUCGCCAUCCUUAGUAGUUUCCUCGGCGAAAAUGGCUAAAGAGAUAUUACAAACCCAUGACCUUCAAUUUUGCAGCAGGCCAGCCUUGGUAGCACAACAAAAGUUAUCUUACAAUGGUCUUGAUUUAGCGUUUUCACCCUAUGAUGAAUAGUGGAGAGAGAUAAGAAAAAUUUGUGUCAUUCAUCUCUUUAACUCUAAUAGGGUACAAAAUUUUCGACCCAUUAGAGAAGAUGAAGUUUCAAGAAUGAUUGAAAAGAUUUCAAAAUCAGUUGGUGCUUCUAAUCCCGUAAACUUAAGUGAGGUAAUGAUGUCUCUUACCAGCACCAUUAUUUGUAGAAUUGGUUUUGGCAAGAGGUACGAUGAAGAUAAAGCAACAAGUGGAAGAAGUAGAUUCCAUGCCCUGCUUAAUGAAACUCAAGCCUUGUUUGUAAGCUUUUUUGUUACAGAUUAUUUUCCUUUCAUGGACUGGAUUGAUAACCUCAGAGGAAUGAUGAAACGCCUGCAAAAUAACUUCCAAGAACUCGAUGGAUUCUACCGGGAACUCAUCGACGAGCAUUUGGAUCCAAACAGAACUAAAUCAGAAUUGCCGCAACAGGAGGAUAUAAUUGAUAUUUUACUUCAAAUAAGAAAAGAUCGUGGAUUUAAAGCUGACUUGACUUUGGAUCACAUCAAAGCAGUGCUCAUGGUGAAUAAUUUUAUAAAUAGUUAUAUGUAGACCGGUGCUUAGGCACAGACUCAAAAUUUUGCGCAGAUACCCAAUUUUACAGUCUUGUAAAAUGUUUUAUAGUGCUGUCAAGUGCUCUCUGAUGUCCCCAUCUGAGCACGAUUAACUUAAUAUAGUUUUAUUUGCUUUAACUAAUCUUAUAUGUAUAUAUUUAUGUUCUUUUUUUUUUAAUUUGCUUUUUUAAGUAAUUUAAUAUGUAUAUAUGUAUGUUGUUUGUUUGGCAGAACGUAUUCGUUGCUGGAACAGACACGAGUGCUGCAACUGUGGUUUGGGCCAUGACCUAUCUAAUGAAGAAUCCUAGAGCAAUGAAAAAAGCUCAACUGGAAAUCAGAUCGCUGAUUGGGGGCAACAAAGGGUUUGUUAAUGAAGAUGAUGUUCAAGAACUACAUUAUCUUAAAGCAAUAGUGAAGGAGACGAUGAGAUUGCAACCCACAGGUCCAUUACUAAUCCCAAGAGAAUCAAUUCAAAAGUGCGUAAUAGAAGGGUAUGAAAUACCAGCUAAAACACUUGUCUUUGUAAAUGCAUGGGCAAUAGGAAGAGAUCCUGAAGUAUGGGAGAAUCCUGAGGAAUUUUAUCCGGAGAGAUUCGCUGAUAGUUCUAUUGACUUAAAAGGGCAACACUUUGAGUUAAUACCAUUUGGUGCUGGAAGAAGAAUUUGCCCUGGGUUGCAUAUGGGAAUUGCUACUGUGGAUCUUGCACUUGCUAAUCUUCUUUACAAUUUUGAUUGGGAAAUGCCGCUUGGAAUGAAGAGCCAUGACUUGGACUUUGAUGUUCUUCCUGGAAUUGCCAUGCAUAAGAAGAAUGCUCUUUCUCUUCUGCCUAAGCUAAGUAUCAUGAUGACUAGGUAAAUUAGGGUACCUCUACCAAUAAGUAGAUAAAAAAAUUAGGGAAAUUUACAACCGUCCACCUGUUUGUUUUGUCUUUUUCAAAAAUACACAAACACUUUUUUUUUUUUUCAGCGCGCCACCUGAAGUUCACUUUUUGUUGCAUUCUUCCACUUCCGUCUAAUUUCCGUUAGCAAAUUUAACGGAAUGACCUUUUUACCCCUCAAAAUUACAAUUUAACCCAAAAUAAAUAGAAAUUGGAGAUAAAUUGGAUGGAUUUAAUUUUUUUUCAAAGGUGGAUGCUAGAAAUUGGAGGAAAAUAAUGUUUGUUGCUUGCUAAAUUUAGAAAAUUUGUAUUUAUUUUUUUGGAGGAAAAUAGUGUUUAUUACUUGCUAGAUUUAGAAAAUUUGUAUUUAUUUUUUCUCUUUCAAAAAAAUAAAUACAAAUUUUCUAAAUUUAGCAAGCAACAAACACUAUUUUCCUCCAAUUUCUAGCAUCCACCUUUGAAAAAAUUUAAAUACAUCCAAUUUAUCUCCAAUUUCCAUUUAUUUUGGGUUAAAUUGUAAUUUUGAGGGUUAAAAAGGUCAUUUCGUUAACAUUCCGUUAAAUCUACUAACGGAAAUUAGACGGAAGUGGAAAAAUGCAACAAAAAGCAAACUUCAGGUGGCGCACUGAAAAAAAAAAAAGUGUUUGUGUAUUUUUGAAAAAGGCAAAACAAACAGGUGGACGAGUGUAAAUUUCCCAAAAAAUUAAGGCACCUCUAUCAAUAAGGGUUUGAUCUAAACGAAAUAUGUGUUAUAUGUCCGCAAUUAUGCUUCUCCUCUUCUCCCGUUUUUCUUUCUUUCUUCUUAUGUACAAUUAAUGAUGAUGCGAAUGGUGAUUAAUAAGCAAGUUUCUUUUAGUUCAAAAUUUUGGGAAGUAAAGGCUAGAAAAUAAUGGGAACUUUGCCCGCUCUCCUAUACCUUAAGAAAAGGGCGAAAAAAAAAAAGAUAUGAAUGUGAAUAUUAAUC
rnacentral:lncRNA from 1 species